rnacentral:lncRNA from 1 species
AACUUGAAAACUUAUUACUUAUAAUUAAAUACAAAUAUUACAAAUUUUAAACUAAUGUAAGAAGCCAGAUUAUGAUGAUAUAAUAUAAUAUCAAAUCAAAUUGUCUCAAUUAGCUUUAAACAUGUCAAAUAAUGGUUACCACGUUUCCCCCCCUUUUAAAGGGUGAUUACCACAUUGAUGAACUUAAAAUUCAAAUUCCAACUAAUUUUUCUAGGAUUUUGUGUCUAGGACUAUAGGCUAGAAGGAGACUUAUCUACUCAACUACUCAUUUGUUUAGACUUGUUUAUACAACUUUAUCUACCUGUAAAAAUUUACCUAGUGACUUGUCUAUUCAAUUUAACACAUGUUUAGACUAGUCAAUUUGGUUAUUACCAUAUAUUUUAUAAUUUACUAUAAUUUCUGUUGUGAUUCUCGCACCAUAAAUGAUGAGAUGAACUCUCUAAAGUUUAAGAGAAUACUACGUCAAAUAUUGUAAUUAACAAUGGUCAUUUAAUAGCGUUUUCUUGAAUGACGUUGUUAAAAAUGAGGUGGAAGAACACCAACAAGGCACAUUAAAGCAAACAACUGUCAAUUUGGGUAAGUAGACACAACUUUAACAGCUCAGUCUUAAAAAAACAUUGUUGAACAUUAAUGAUGUUAGUGCUGACUUGAAUGAAUUUUGUAUAAUAGCGUAAUUUAUAGGAAGCGUUGUUAAUGUACAUUUAUUCCACAACGCAAGAUUAAAGAAGCGCGAUUGAAGAUGACAUAGUAACAACGCUUUCUUAAAUAGGCGUUGUUGCUUGUAUACGACGUUAUACAUAUCAGAAAAAUUAAUGGUGAAGUGAUUUAUAUGUCUCUUUGUUUCUAUGCAAAUUCUUUUUUUUUUCAUAGAAAAAUUAAUUGGUUGCACAUCUGCCAAGGACAGCGAUAACGAUUAUCUUUCCAUUUGAAUCUAUAUAUGUUGUCGAUCACUCCAUGUUUUUUAAUAUGUGUUGUUCUAUUUCAUCAGUGAGUUUCUAUAGAUUAUUUUUUUUGCUCCUUUAUAUUAUUUUUUUGUAAUUGUAUUUGUCUAAUUAGUCAUUGUCUCUUUCAUUGUCUCCUUUUAUAAUUAGCCAUGACACACAAGGAGAAGAAGAUAUGAGGAAGAAACACAAAGAAACCGAAAAGGGAGCAAUUCAAGGCACAAAGAAAAAAGAAGUUUUGUUAAAAAAGAUAUUCCUAAAAAAGAAUGUGUAUGUCAAUUUUGCAAUAAUCUUGAAUCUCUAUGUUUAAUUUCUUACGGCAAAGAUUUGAAUAUAAUUUCGCAAUAAGAAACUCUAAUUUUUUAUUUUUGUUUUUUCAGCAAUUCUUAACGGCUACAGGAGACGAUGAACCGGACCAUGUGAAAUAUCUUAAUUCUAUUAUACACUUAGGGAUGAUUUAUUCAAAUGACCAGGGGCACUUUGAAGAAAUUAUUUUGUUCACUUUUUUAAUUUAGCAUGAACAUUUUACUUUGGCAUGAUUUUGACAACAAUUAAUGUAUUUUGGCAACAACGAACUUUGACACUUUGAAUGAAGAAUGAACAAUUAUUUUGAAUAUUAAGUUUUAUUUUUUUGUUAUUUAUUUGGAUAGUUGUAUUUUGACAGUUCCAUAUUAAUAAACACAAUAAACAAAUUAACAAUACUUAAUAUUUAAUAUUUUUUUGGAGAUUUUUUGGUAACAUUUAUUUUUGUGGCAACGUUCAAUAACCAAAAGUAACAUUGUAUUUUGACAAUUAUUGUUAAUAUAAUAUGUUAAUUUAACAACACAACUUCAAGAAACCGCUGUUAUUUUAAAUCCAUUAACAACGCAAAUUUAAGAAAAAAAUGUUAAUUUGGAUGUUGAAUUAAGCGCUGACUUGAAUGAGUUCAGUUUAACAACACAUAAUUAAGAUAACGCUGUUAAUUAGAAUCUAUUCAACAAAGCAAUUUUAAGAAAACGAUGUUAAUUUGGAUGUUGAAUUAAGCGUUGACUUGAACGGGUUCGGUUUAACAUCGAAUAGUUAAGAUAACGUUGUUAAUUAGAAUCUAUCCAAUAUCGUAUAAUCAUACAAUGUAUGUGUAUUGUUUGCAUGCAAUAUAAUGUAUAUGUGUUUUCAUGCAAUAUAUAUGUAUUUUUUGCGUAUUCAUAAAAUGUAUGUGCUUUCAUGCAAUUUAUAUGUAUUAUGUGUUUUAAUUUCAGUCAACUUUUGAUAUUAGUGAGGAGUAUAAAGAUUAUAUCCUUAAAUCUGCCCGCAAGACUCUCUGAUCGAUAUUUUAGAACUGAUGCUGGAAAAUGCAUCUGAUAUACUAAUGACAAUGUCAACCUCAAACCUUCAAAGGAAUAUGCAAAUGUCAUUGAAGAUGAGGAUUAAAAGGUUUUUGUCACUACACACACAAGAAGACUCUUUCUUGGUAAAAUCAUCUUCUUUGUACUGACUUUAGUCUUAUAUAUGCUUUUGUAUAUACAUAUAUAUGAUUGUUGACAUUAAUGAUGUUUGUUUUUGCAGAAAGUAAUUCAUGAAAAUCAUAAGAGGACAUCUUUGCCAUUGUAUCCAUAUCGAGCUUCUCGAGCGGGGUAUAAAGGAAUCUGAGAGGAAAAAUUGUAAGUAUUGUUAAUUUGUAAGUACAUUAUUGGUUAUGUUUUGUAUCCAUAUAUAUAAUUACAUUAUUAUCGGUUAUGUUUUGGCAGUUGGAGAACAAAAGUGACACACCUUUGACUCCACAUGGAGUAGAACUCGAUGUUCUGUAGGUGGAUGCCUGUAAGAACAAGGAUAAUGUCAUCGUUAAUGAAAAAGUUCAAGAAGUGGCACCCCAUGUUGUAAGUGCUCAUUUUUUAAUUAUAUUUGAUAUUCAUACAUUAUUUUUCAAAAUGUGAUUAAUUAACAUUAUGUUUUUUCUUGAUUUGUCAGGUUGCCCUAAAAGAAAAGGAGACAUAUCCAUAUAUUUGCAUUAUACUUGAUAAGAUACUAGGAUUGCCUCAGUACCUGGUCGUAUUCGGGGUGCAGGAUUUGGGGUUAGCCAGCGAACAUUUGUUCCACAUCCAAAGCGUGCAACCAAAGCCCAAAUGUUCAGGUUCAAAAUCAAUUGGGUAGCCUUAUGCAACGGUUCAACGACUUUGAGCAAUUUAUGAAGGUGAAGGAAACUGAGUGGCAAUGACUAGAUACUACUGCUGAGACUGUUCCUUCAACUAACAAUGAGAGUUACAUGCCUGCUCCUUACAACAUUCACAUUCCGAUUCUCAUUUAUGAGGUGAUUUAGUUAACUUAUUUUAAUUUAUUUGUCAUUUAGUUUAUAGUCGUAAACUAAUUAUAUGUUUUAAAUAACAUAUAAGGAAUCAGUGCUUGCAAACGUUUCCUAGAUAUCCCAUCUAGCCGAGUGGUGGGUGUUGGGAAAGUGCACAACUUGGCCGAUACUAUGCUGCAUAAUGCACUUAUCUCAUGUCAUCAUGUGAAGGUCUCGAUUAAUGUUGCAAUCGAUGAUGAUGCAUUGCUGCUAAUUACUCUCGAUGGGGAUAUCUUCACAAUUGGAGGGGCUAUAAGCACUUUUGUGGCUUGGCCAAUAGACCUUGUACAAGUAGUUUAUUCUAAGGUAUGAUUUUCACCUUAUGCUCACUCAUCAAAGCUUGUAAUUUACAAAGUCAUUGAUCUUGAAAAAUGUUUAAGCCAAGUUUGUGUUUAUUUACUUUGUUUAGUUUCAACAAAUUCACUUUUUAAAUAAAUCUUCAAAAAGAAAAAAUAAACACACUAAAAAAAAUAAUUUUAACAAGUAAGCACACUAAAAAUAAAAAUAAACUCACUAAAAAAAAUACAGCAGAAACAGUAGAAAGUUUUAAAAUAGAACAAAAUUUAAUUCUUUCAAAAUGUUAUACACACUCCCCCAACUUAAGUACUUGACUUGUUUUCAAGUAAAAAAUAAUAAUUUUAGGAAGUUUGUAUAAUAUUUUGAAAUAACGAAAAAGAAAAUUAAAACUAACCACAAUUUUUAGGAGAACACAAAAUUUCAUUCUCCUUGUUUUCAAUAUCCUCUCCUAGAUAGUGGUGCCAUCAACUCCUCAUUUUUGUUUGUUUGUUUGGACUUGUUUUCCUGUAAAUCAUUCCGAACUUUCAAUUUUAUUUUGCUUUGAGGUUAGUCUAACAAUUCACAUGAAUUUAUAAUUUCCUAAGGCACUACAUUCAUGAAUUAAUUUUGAUUUAGAGAAUUCCAACCAAACAUCAUGCUUUUUCAUGCAAAUCGAUGUUUAGAAAAUACUUUCAAUCAUAUUUCAAAUCCAAUUGAUAAAAUGGAAGUCCAAACAGAAUUUAUGGAACUUUAAAACACAUUUUAUCACACCAAACAUCCAUAAAUAAAUCCAUUCAGAAUUUCAUGAAUUUAUUUUGUUAAAUGGUGAACCAAAUAACACACUUUUUAGGAGUUCUCCAGUUUGGAAAAAUUCAUUUUUGGCAUGAAUGUAACAAGCAUGCUCUUAGUUUUAAAAAUUAAUUUGACAAUUUUCAAAAUAAUUUACUAAGGCAUGUUGAUGGAGAUUUUUGGUUAAAGUAUCACAAGAUAAAGUAUCAUCAUCAAAAAGUACGUGGUGAAUAAUUAACCUUUAUGGAUUCAAGUGGCUUCCUUUCUUGAAAAAAAACUCCAGCCACUAAUCAUUGUUUAUUUCAAUCCCUUUUAUGUUGUUCUUUUUGAAAAAGUUGAUGAGGAGUACCUCCACAUCUCCUAAAUUUUUUAUAACAACAAUAAAAAGUUUCUUAACUAGUGGAUUUUCACUCCACUAAUUCAUUUUUUUCUCUUUGAGUUUUUAAUUUUUUUAAAUGUACAAAACAUAAAAAUAAAGAUGUACAAAAGGAAAAAUAAAUUUAUACAAAAGAGAGAGAAAAUGUUAUGCACAAUUAUUUGAUAAAUGACAUAUACAUAUGAAAUGUUCUAUUAUUAAAGCAAUUCCCCAGCAACGGCGCCAAUUUGUUGAAAUGUUAUCUUUUUUUGAGGAGGCUUUCCCCUCUCAACAAAUAGUACUGGCAGUAGUGCCAAUUUGUUGAUAGCGGAAUUCUCUUCUGUGGUGUGUUUCUUUUUUAUUUGAUUAAGUCAGUGAAGUCGGUUUUAUUCUUUGUUCGCCAUCUCGGCUUUGUUGAAAUAAAUUCCAACGCCGGUAUAAUGGUUUCAAGAAUAUUCCAGUUACAACUUACUUCUAAUAAUCAUGUGAAUAAGUUAUUCCUUCUUUGCCCAUCUCGGCUUUGUUAGAAUAAAUUCUAAUGUCAGUAUAAUGGUAUUGAAGCAAUUAUUUAUUACAUAAUUAUUAAGUACCUUUAUUUGUCGAAUAAAUUUCAACACCGGUUUAAUAGUAUUCCAAUGUACAAAAGUGAUGAAUAGUUAGUUGUUAGAAACAAAUAAAGAAAUAAAGAACAAAAAAAUAAUAAAUUUAAGUGACAUUUAUUUAUUUACUCCCUUUCUGGUUACUUUUAUUAACAAACCAAACUUCUUCUUUAAGGAAGGUUGGUAUUAAAGAAUAAAUAAAUUGCGGAAUGUAAAUAACAAUAAAUAAAAAAAAAAAAAUUUAUUGAUAACACUUUACUAUUUUACAAUUUAUGUUAGGUAUCAGUGGUUACAAUACACCUAGAAGGGGGGGGGGUUGAAUAGGUGUAGCGGUUAGAAUAGCCGCUUUUCGAAACUCAACACUUAAUGCUGAAUCACCCCUAAUUAAUCGAUUACAUGAUGAAGAUAAUCGAUUAACAGAACAAACUUAAUCGAUUAACAAAACAAGGAUAAUCGAUUAACAGAACAGUCUUAAUCGAUUAAACAUAAACAGUAAGCUAUUACAGAAACGAUUAAUCGCACCACAGUUAACCGAUAAUAGAACGAAUAACAGAGCUUACAAAUAUUAUAUCAGAGUAACAUUCAGUAUAGCACAAGUACAGAAUGUAACAAUUAAUUCCACUAUACCAAAUAAUCGAAUAAAAACAGUAAAGAGAGAGAAAGAGAGAAAAAAUCCUGUAACGCGAAUUUUUAUCCUGGUUCGUUUGCUGUCCACUGCAAACUACAUCCAGGCCUCCCGGCUGACUUGGGAGAUUUCCUUCACUAUAAUUGAAUCAAUGUAUUUACAUGCACAUCAUCCAAUUACAACACUUAGAAAAUUACAAGAAAAUAAAGAAACCUAUUCAAUGGUUUGACUCCCUUCCUACCGACAAAGAAAACGUUUCUUUCGGCGUAGCCCUAGCCAAGAAUCUCUGUUCUUUCCUUUUCUAACACUCUAAGCAAUUAUGAAGAAACACUCAAUCUCUAAGGUGAUAAGACACCACGAGAUUCCCUUAUUACNNNNNNNNNNNNNNNNNNNNNNNNNNNNNNNNNNNNNNNNNNNNNNNNNNNNNNNNNNNNNNNNNNNNNNNNNNNNNNNNNNNNNNNNNNNNNNNNNNNNCGGAUGGUUUGAGAGGGUUAGGAUGAGGUUUUUCUACCUUAUUGCACUUGGAUUGGUUGGGUUACUGAUUCAGAGACUUAAAGCACAAAAGAGGUUGAUAAAAUGUCGAAAAAAGUGCAGAACCGAGACAUUGUCUGCUUUUAACAUACUGGUUUUAAUCGAUUAACAGGCUGUUUUAAUCGAUUAAAACAGUGCAAAAUUUUGAGUUUUCAAAAAGAGUUGCCCAGGUAAUCGAUUAACGAGCUGUUUAAUCGAUUAAAUCAGAAAAAAAUUGAAAUUUCAAAAACUAAUGCCCAGGUAAUCGAUUAACCCCAAGUGUUUAAUCGAUUAAACACUGUAAAAAUUGGUUUUUAGGCAGCAGAACGGUUUCGACUUUUUAGGACACAUACAUGCAUUGCAACGGAUCAAUUGAGACAUUUAUAAUCACAAAAAGAGUUAAUCAAGAGAUAUAAUUUUGCAUUUUCAACAUAUAUCAUUUAAAAUUCUUGAGGAGACAAGAUCAUUUUGAAUGAUGAAAGUAUUUCUCAAAUUCUUAUGGAUUUGAACUACUUAGACAAGUUCUUAUGUUUUACUUUGAUUAACCCCAAAUACCAAGGUCUGAAAUCCUCCUUUUAGUGUAUGUCCUAAAAUGGUAGAAUGAUGAUCACUUAUAUUUAUUACUAAACAAUAUUACGUCCAUAAAGAGACUAGGUUGUCACACCCUAGUCAUUGGCGACUCUAAUAUUGUAGUAGUAAUGAAUAUAAGAUCUUAAGAAAAGCAUGUUUAACUUGACAAAUAAACUAUGUAGUACAACUACUUCUUAGUUUAUUUGUUAAGUGUUUGAGACAAGUAAUUUUUAUAACUUGAAAUCAGUUUUUAGGUGAUCAAUCUAAAAAGAGCAUUAAGAAUUUCUCAAACAAAUAAAAUUAAAUAAUAGCACCAACUUGAAUGAUUAAAAUUCAAAUGAAUUAUAAUGAAGAAAAAAAGACAAACAUACCAUAAUCCAAAUGAAAGUUGUAGGAGCAUUAGCCAUCCACCCAAAGAUUGGAUACUUUAAGUCCCAAAUGAGAUUACAAAAUGGAUUUUUGCAUCUCAUUUGCCUUCUCUUUUCUCCUCUUGAAUUAUAUGAAAAACUACUCUAAAACUAGCCUAAAAACUACCUAAAAUGAAAGGAAAAUAUGGAGGAAAGAAUUUAGAAAGAAUGUACAAUGUCUUAGAAUUGAGAAUUUCGUGCCUUUAUAUAGGCCAAGGUGUUGGGCGCUCAGCUGCCCUUUUUGGCAGCUAAGCUGCUGACCAUUGGCCCCUAUGAAUAGCCACUUUGGCCCCUACUUGACCGCUAUGGUGGGCUAGGUUACAUGCAUGGUGACACCUCCUCCUUCUUUUCAUAACCUUAUGUCAUCCAUGAGGUCAUGUUCUUGGCCCAGGUAAUCAAUUAACCAGUGGGUUUAAUCGAUUAACACGUAUUAGAAACAGAAUGGCAGAUUAGCUUAUUGCACAGUUAUUUACUAACAAACAAGCAGAGAUACAACAGAUAUUUUUAUGCACAAUUAACAAGGAUAUGGCAAAGUAGCAGUAUGAAAAAUAUCAGCUUAAUACACAAAUUAAAACAGCUUGAAUUAUAAAAGAGAUUGAGAGAGAACAGCUUGCACAAUAGGAUUUUUAUCCUGGUUCGUUUAACGGUCUUAGGCUCAAUUUGCGAUACAAAAGCUACAAAAUUACAGAAAUUUCGUAAGGAACUACGGGUUACCACUCCCGUAGAUAUGUCACCUAUAACUUUAUCAAUUGGGUGAGCUUUCUUUGUUUUCCACACGGUAGGCAUGUCUGAGUGCUCUUGAGGUUCGAUUUGACCUUCAUCAUUGGCUCCUUUUUCAUUAUCCAUGUCCUUGGAGUAUGCUUCUUCCAAAGCACCUGCAACAUCAUCAGAAACGACCUUUCUCUUCUCUUUUGGAGAAGAUUCGUCAAACUGUACAUGGAUAGACUCUUCAACUUGCAUUAAAUAUUUGUUAAAGACUCUGAACGCUUUGCUAUGAAUCGAGUAUCCCAAAAAUAUUCCCUCAUUGGCUUUAGAGUCGAAUUUUCCUAAAGCCCGCUUUCCAUUAUUUAAUAUAAAAUAUUUGCAACAGAAACCGUGAAGAUGGGAUAUGUUUGGUUUGCGGCAUUUUAAAAGUUCAUAAGGAGAUUUAUUUAAAUUAGGCCUUAAGAGUACUCGAUUUAUAACAUAACAUGCAGUAUGAACUGCAUCAGCCCAGAAGUACUUGGGGGUAUUACUUUCGUUAAGCAUGGUUCUCGCUAAUUCUUCUAAAACACGGUUUUUCCUCUCAACAACUCCAUUUUGUUGUGGAGUGCGAGGAGCAGAGAACUGAUGCAAAAUGCCAUGCUUAUCACAGAAUUUGUCGAACUGAAAGUUCUCAAAUUCUCCCCCGUGAUCACUUCGUAUAUAUAUUAUUUUUAGGUUAAGUUGGUUUUGGAUUUGCUUGGCAAGAUUUUUAAAAUUUUUGAACGCGUCGCUUUUUGAUGAUAAAAACAAUGUCCAUGUAAAUCUAGAGAAAUCAUCAACAAUAACUAGAGCGUAGUAACUACCACCAAAACUCAUGAUUUGUGAUGGUCCAAACAAGUCCAUAUGGAGUAGCUCCAAAGGUCUUGAGGUGGAUAUCACAUUUUUAUUUUUAAAAGAGUUUUUGGUUUGUUUACACUUUUGACAAGUGUCACAAAUUUCUUUAGUUUUAAAAUUCAAUUUUGGUAGCCCCUCAACUAGUUCGUUUGAUGAUAAUUUAUCUAGAUGCUUUAUAUGGAUAUGUGCAACACGUCUAUGCCAUAGCCAGAUGUCAUCUUCUUUAGAAAUAAAGCAUUUUGAAAAUAAUGUAGUGACAUCGUCCAAAUUAACCAUGUAAAUAUUAUUUAUACGGUGACCAACAAAUUUAACGUUAUUAGAUAAAAUAUCACGAAUGACACAACAAUCAGAAUCGAAGGAUACACGAUUACCUUUAUCGCAGAGUUGGCUUAUACUCAACAAGUUAUGUUCUAGUCCUUCAACAUAAAGGACAUUAUCAAUCAGAGUUUGGGAUGAGUUACCAACUGUUCCUGUGCCGAGUAUCUUUCCCUUGUUGUUGUCUCCAUAAGUGACGUAUCCUUUUCCUUUAAGUGAGAGAUCCAGGAAAUUUGAUCUAUCACCUGUCAUAUGCCUCGAACACCCACUAUCUAAGUACCAUUUUUGUCCAUGUGUUCGGAGACAUACCUGCAAAAUAGAUUACUUACUUUUCUCAGGUACCCAAUUUAUGUUGGGUCCUUUUCUGUUAGUGAUUAGGGAAUCAUCUCCCUUCUUUUUCCAUACAUAAACUCCGCUAGGUAUACCAUACUUUUUAAUAUAGCAUGAAUGAGAAGUAUGACCAUAUGUGUUACAAUAAAAACAAGUAGGAGAAUGCUUAUGAUAUUUAUUUUUAGCUUGAGCUACCGGUUUUCUAUAUGGUCGCUUAUUUUUAGCAGUGCGAGUAUAACCUAGACCAGUUCGAUCACCAACAUUUCUAGUUUGAUUAAGCAAGUUAUCUAAUUGUUGUUUACUGUUUGUGAGACGUGUGAGUUUUUCAUUUAGUUUAAAAUUGUCCUCUUGCAAAGUCUCGCAAGUCUCACAGACAGGUUUUUGACAUAAGUUAUUAGCAGAGCAGUUACAUGAGCUACAAGAAUAGAUGAGAUCUAAAGUUUCUGCUCAGCUCACCUGGUCCCACGCUCAGCUGCUUGCUUGAGUAGCUUGGCUGACCUGGUCCCUCGCUCAACUUCCUACUUCAGCAGCUUGGUUGACCUGGUCCCAUGCUCAGCUGCCUGCUUGAGUAGCUCAGCUGACCUAGUCUCAUGCUCAGCUGCCUCCUUGAGUAGCCUGCCUUACCUGGCCUGGUGCUUGGCUGACAUUGCCUGGUGCUUGGCUGUCCUGACCUGGUGCUUGACUGGUCUGGCCUAGUGCUUGGUGCUUGGCUGACCUGGCCUGAUGCUUGGCUGAGCUGACCUAGUGCUUGGUGCUUGACUGGUCUGGCCUGACCUGGCCUGGUGCUUGGCUUGGCUGGACAGCUUUGUGCUUGAUUUCUUCAUGGUGAAGCAACCUUUUUUUCUUUGGUUUGUUACUUGAUUUUUGUUGGUUGUUUGGUACUUUUGGGCUGUAUUCUUUAAGUUAAGGUAAGCAUUUGAUUUUUGCAAGUUGCUUGGCCUACCUUAACUUAGGUUUCUUCAAGACGAAGUAAGCUACCUUUCCUUCAAGGCUAAGUAACCAAAUUAAACACAUAGCAUGCCAUUCUUUAACUUGAUUACUUUUUAGCAAUUCAUUUUGAGCUUUUGUCUUGAAUUUUGGCUUGAAUUCUUGUCCAUCUUUGAAUUUAUUCUUUAAUAUUCAAUUUCCUACAAAACUCAAAGAAAAUUGGACAAGAAUUAAUAAAGAACUAAUUUAUCUAAUCAUGCAAAAUUCACCUAAAAAGUGUUAAUUUAAGUUGGUUUUCUACAAUUUGCAUAGGAUAAGUGCCAUAAAAUGAUGAUGAAAAGAGUAUACUUUUUGCACUUAUCAAACUCCCCCCAACUUAAAACUUUGUUUGUCCCCAAACAAAAGGUAAAAUAACAACCACUUGGCUUUGUAGCCAGAUGUCAUCUUCUUUAGAAAUAAAGCAUUUUGAAAGCAGAAUGACAUGUAUUAGUAUGAAAGCAGAAGUUACGGAAUCUAAAAUAUUUCACAAAAAAGCAUAAAAAAUAUGCAUGAAUAUGUGAGGGAAAAUAUGAGAAAUUACAACAUGAAAUGCACUCAAUCCUAAAGCAUAGAAUCUCUCAUUUCUAANNNNNNNNNNNNNNNNNNNNNNNNNNNNNNNNNNNNNNNNNNNNNNNNNNNNNNNNNNNNNNNNNNNNNNNNNNNNNNNNNNNNNNNNNNNNNNNNNNNNUCUUCAAGGCUAAGUAACCAAAUUAAGCACAUAGCAUGCCAUUCUUUAACUUGAUUACUUUUUAGCAAUUCAUUUUGAGCUUUUGUCUUGAAUUUUGGCUUGAAUUCUUGUCCAUCUUUGAAUUUAUUCUUUAAUAUUCAAUUUCCUACAAAACUCAAAGAAAAUUGGACAAGAAUUAAUAAAGAACUAAUUUAUUCAAUAAUGAAAAAUUCACCUAAAAAGUGUUAAUUUAAGUUGGUUUUGUACAAUUUGCAUAGGACAAGUGUCAUAAAAUGAUGAUGAAAAGUGUAUACGUUUUGCACUUAUCUUAGACCUCUGCCAAACAAACGAGGUAGAUUGCGGCUAUUACUUACUAAAAUACUUGAAAGAGAUCAUUCAGUAGUGGACAAUUAAUGAAAUCAAGUUUAUUGGAAAAUCAUUCAUAGAUGACCAAGUCAUCCAAAUUAGGGAAGAUUGGUCACAAUAUGUACUUAGUUUUACUAGAAAGUAGUGUAGGGAAAUCAAUGUAUAACAUAGGUGUAGUAGAUUUUUGCACAAAUUAUAGCUUAGGGAAUUCAAUUAAGGUUCAAUGCAAUGUAUAUGUUUUGGUGCAUGUAAUAUAUAUUUUCGAAAGAGUACAAUGUAUUUAAUGUUCAAUAUAUAAAUUCAGUUGAAAUUCAGUUGUGCUCAUAUACUUGUGAUUUGGUAUUUUUGUAUGCAUUCAUGUUGUUGUUUUGUUUUGUUUCUAGCUAUUCAAUAUGCAUUCAGGUUAUUUUCUGUUGUGUGCUUAACUGUGUUGAAUUAGGAAUUAUGGUCUUUAAGAACAUUUUUUUAAUAGUUCACUGUUGUAUAGAUAUACAAUAGCGCCUUUUUAACGAUGCAUUGUUGUUUAUGUUAAAUUCAACAACGCAUUCUUCAAGAUGCGUUUUUGAAUACUUAUCUCUCAUAUUAUUUUAUUUUAUCUAUACAACAACAUAUUUUAGAAGAAGUGUUGUCGAUAUGAUCAACAAUUAAGCAUAUACACUAGAUACACUAUCCUGUUUUAAUUAAUUGUCAUUAUUUCAUUUAUUAUUUUAUUUUAUCAGUUGAAUGUUAUUUAUUGUCCUUAUUAAUUGUUCUAUAUAUUUAAAAAUAUUGUCAUUAAUCGAACGUCAUAAUGUGAUUAUUAAUUUGAAUUUCAUUAAAAAAAAUUAUUAUUCCAUAAUGUUUUCUUCAGGUUGCAAUAAGGAAUACAUACCUUCAUUAUAUGUGAAUAGGAAGUCUUCCCCAUCACUUUUUGUGGGUGACGCUGUUGAUUAGGUCUUAUUUACAAUGCUAUCUUCAUUAAUCGAUAUUGAAGAUACUAUCAGAUCCUAUAAAAUUACAAUGUUCCAGCAUUUUCACACAUUCAGCAAUCCCAACACUCAUUUACUCAGAAGCGAAACUCAUUUACUCUCAAAAUCGACAUAAAAAAUCAUUCAACCUCAUCAUCAUUCAACACCGAAAAUCAACCUCAAAAACCAUUCACUCAUUUAACACGAAAAUCAUUCAAGACCAACUUAAAAACUAAGUCACUCGUUCAACCGAAAAUCAACUUCCAAAAUCAUUUACUCAUUCAACACCGAAUUGAAAGUGAGUUUUCCUUAUAAAUAUUUGCCUUUUUAAUAACAUUAUAUUUAUCUUGUAUUGAGUUAUAAAUAUUUUCCUUAUAAAUGAGUGUAUUGAGUUAGGUUUCCGACCGUUUUCAUUUUAUUACAUUAUGAGUUAGAGUACCCCAUUUUUAAUUUCAUAAUAAUGUAUUUGCUCUACUUGGUGAGCUUAACUCCAAGCUUGAGGGAUUUAUGCUCAUUAUAUUUUUUGUCUAUUCUUUUAUAGAAAAUGGACUGAAAAUGGAUGAAUGUCAAUCGAUUGAUGAAAUAGUAUGAGGAAAAAGUGAAAUCAUUUGUUAGGUUUGCAACUGAGAAUGCGGAAACCCUAAUAGAAUUGUAUGUCUUUGCUUAAGAUGUGGUUAUCAAACCGAAUUACUCCAAAUGAGUCAAAAGUUUUUUUAUGAUGAUGAGAUGCAAAUGAAAUAAAACUACACAAAUGCAUAUGAAGAUGAUCGUUUCGAGGAAAUGACAAACGUUGUCGAAGAGGAUCUUCAAGAUUGUCAUGAGAUGUUUAAGCGGUUGAUAAGUGAUGUUGAGAAAGCAUUAUAUGAUUGUUGUACUGAAUUCACAAGAUUGACAACAGUGUCAAGGUUGUAUAAGUUGAAAUAUGUUAAUGGGUGGACUGAUAAGAGUUUCACAGACUUGCUUGCACUUUUGAAGGAUAUGUUGUCGGAAGACAAUGUGCUCCAUUCUCGAACCUAUGAAGCAAUACAAAUGUUACGCUCCAUUGGCAUGGACUACACUAGGAUACAUACUCGUGAAAAUUAUUGCAUCUUAUUUUUUAAUGAGUAUGCUUCAUUAAAGUUUUGUCCUAAAUGUAAUGCAUCACGAUAUAAGAAGGAAGACUCAAUUCCCAAAAAGGUUGUAUAAUAUUUUUCCCAUCAAAGCAAGAUUCAAGCGUAUGUUUAGCAAUUCCAAAGAUGCAAAGAAUGUGACAUGGCAUGAUGAAGAAAGGAUUAGAUAUGGCAAGCUUCGGCAUCCUGCAGAUUCUGCUCAAUGGAGAAAAAUUGAUCAUGACUAUCCUAGUUUUGGUCAAUAAUCAAGACAUCUAUGCCUUGUAUUAUCAACAGAUAGAAUUAACCCACAUAGUGUUCAGAGUUGCUCCCAUAAUACGUGGCUAGUGAUGUUGGUGAUAUAGAACCUACCUCAUUCUCUAUGCAUGAAGUGCAAAUAUGUGAUGUUAUAUAUGUUAAUUUUUGGACCUAAACAACUAGGAAAUGACAUGGGUAUAUAUUUAGCUCCAUUAAUUGAAGACUUGAAGAAAAUGUGAGAGACAAACAUAAAUGUUUAUGAUGCGUAUAGGGAUGAAAGAUUCAACUUGAAGGCUUUGUUGUUCGACAAAAUUAGUGAUUUUCAUGCCUAUGGUAAUCUAUCUGGAUAUAGUACAAAUAGACAUUUUGCAUGUCAUGUAUGUGAAGACAAUACUCAUUUAAUGAGGUUGGAACACUAUAAGAAGAAUGUCUUCCUUGGUCAUCAUAGAUUUUUGCAUUCAGAUCAUCACUAUCGACGAUGAAGAAAAACAUUUGAUGGGAACAAUGAAGAAGGUCGUGCUCCUUUACUGUUGACGGGUGACUAAUCAAAAGCUAAAGGGUUUGAAUAAUAACUUUGGUAAUCCUUUUGCAAGUGAAAUGGUCACAAAUGGGUGGAAGAAAAUUUUAAUCUUCUUUGAAGUGUCAUAUUGGAGUUCAUUAUAUGUAAGACAUUUCCUUGAUGUUAUGCAUAUUGAAAAAUGUGUUUGAAAAUCUCAUUGAUAUCUUACUCAAUGUCUCUAGUAAGACCAAAGAUGGCUUGAAUGCAAGGUUGGACUUGGUUAGUAUGGGCACGAGAAAGGAAUUGGGGUCGAUAAUGAAGAGAAACCAUACAUUUCUACCUCUAGUAGCUUAUACUUUGUCGAGGAAGGAGAAAAUGAAAUUUUUUAAAUUUCUUCAUGAUAUUAGAGUUUCAAAGGGGCACUCUUCCAACAUUAGGAACCUCGUAUUAAAGAAAGACCUCAAGUUAAAAGGUCUUAAGUCUCAUGAUUGUCAUGUACUUAUGGAGCAUUUCUUGCUAAUUGGAAUACUGUCAAUUCUACCUAAAAAAAUUCGAGAAACUAUAACUAAUUUAUGCUUCUUCUUUAAGGAAAAUUUGUAACAUAGUGAUUGACCCUGAGAAAUUACCUGCAUUGCAAAGAUAAAAUAUUUUGACUUUGUGUGAGCUUGAAAUGUAUUUCCCACCUUCUUUUUUUAAUAUAUUGGUUCAUCAAAGCAUUCAUCUUGUUCGAGAGACACAACUAUGUGGCUCUUUCCUUAUGAGAUGGAUGUACCCCUUUGAUCGUUAUAUGAAGACACUCAAAGGGAAUGUGAAGAACCGAUCAAGACUAGAGAGUUGUAUUGUCGAACAAUAUGUUGUUGAAGAAGCUCUUGAUUUUUGUACUAGAUACCUUACUGAUGAUGAUUUCAUAGGCAUUCUAAAGCCUCAGUAUGCAAAAACAUAUAUUUGGUGAAUGUAUUAAUGAGAAUGAAAUAUUGGCUAUAACAAAAACCAAAUUGGAGUAAGCGCACUUAUACGUUUUACAUAAUGCCGACGAGGUUGAGCCAUAUGUUGAACGACAUAAGGAGAUGCUAAGGAAAUCUUAUCCAAUUAAGAAUAAAAAUUGGAUUUCCAAUGAGCAUAAUUGGUGUUUCAUAAAGUGACCAAAAAAUCACAUUGAUGAGGAGUUGAAUAUAAAUGCACAUUCAGUUUCCGAAAGAUUGAAAUAGUUAGUUAAUGGUCCAAUUAUUCAUGUCUUAUCCUACACUAGUUAGCUAAUUAAUGGGUUCACAUUUUAUACGAAAAACGAGAUGAUCAAUGUAAAAUGCAAAAUAUAGAAACUCAAUAUAUGUUCGAACUUUACACAUGUCAAGUGCAAAAGAUAGAAACCCAAUAUAUUUGAACAUAUCAUACUUUGGGAUGAUUGGACGAAUAUGGGAAUUAGAUUACCCAAUGUUUCAGAUGUCAGUUUUUUAUUGUAUGUGGGAUGAUAGCAACAAUGACUUCCGAGUUGAUGAGUUACGGUUCAUGCAGGUUAAUCUUAAUAUGCCAGGAUAUCAAGAUGAGUAAUUUAUUCUACCAUCACAGGCUCAACAAAUAUUUUAUGCUAGUGACCCAACUGAUAUGAAAUGAUUCAUUAUUCUUUUAACUAACAAAAUAAUAGUCAAUAAUAUUGAUGACCAAGAAUAUGAAGAUAUUAAUGGUGCAGAUGAUCAUUUUUUUUGGGACAUAGCAGUCGCGUGAGAGGGACCAACUACGGAUGAUGAUUUAUAUACAAGAGAUGAUCAUGAUGAAGGGAUUUGAGUGAAUCAAUAUGUUCCCCUAAACAAUAAUGAUAUUACAAGCCCAAAACAAUCGAAGAAAAUGAAAAAGUAGAUGCAUGUAAUCUUUAUAUAAUUAUAGCUUAAUUUGAUUGUUUAUAAUUUGCAUAAUUUUGUUUGUUUAAAAUUUGCAUAAUUUUUUUGUUUUUAAUUAUAUACUCUACCAAAAGAUAAUUGACAGGAUAUUCAUUGUUUAUAGUUUAUAUUAUAUUGAUGUUAAUAAAAUAAACUUUUAGUCUGUGUUAAUGUGUCUGUAUUGUUGAGAAUGUAUAAAUGUGUGUGCUAUUGAGAUUGUUUGUGCUCCUAAUAAAUAUAUAUGCAUGUAUUACUGUGUACAAAUCAACAUUGAAUUCUAGGGGAAGCUCUAUCAUACGCUGUUGUAUAGGAUAAAUGCAACAUUGCUUGUUAUAGAUAACACAGUUCUAUAUGCUUAAUACAACAAUGAUUUGUGUUUGAUGUACUGUUGUAUUAAUGUAUUGUUUGAGAAUAUUUAUGAAUAAUACACCAUCAUUUUUUUAAGUAUGCGUUGUUAUAUAUAUGCAAUACAAUAAUGCAAGCACAAGCACCGCUAAUCAUGCCUAUACAUUGCGAUGUUUAUGUAUAAAAUAUAUGACAACACUUUUUAUAUGAUGUGCAAUUGUAUAUAUGCAAUACAACAAGGUAGGAUAAGCGCUGCUAAUCAUGCCAAUAUAUUGCAUUGUUUAUGUAUGAAAUAUAUGACAACGUUUUAUAUGUGAUGCAUUGUUGUAUAUAGAGAUGGCAAAAUAGGCAUUGCACGCGGGCGCGCCCGCAUAGCCCGCAUUUUUUGCGGACAGGACAUACAAAGUUUGCCUAUUUUCCUGUUUCGCCCGGUCCGUUUUGCCCGCCAAGUUUGCGGGCAUUUCCUUUGGGCAUGCGAGCGGCCCAUAAACAUAAUUUAAGGAAAAAGUAAGAAAAUUUUAAAUAAGUUAUGAUGUAAUGUGAUUUCUAAUCCCUAAAAAAAAUUGUAAUAUAAUGUGAUUUGUUAAUCUUCAUAUAAAAUAUAAAAAAAAUUGUUAAUUUUUUAUCUUCAACUACUUUAUUUAAUUUCAUUUCAUUUAGUAUAUGAAUUUUAUAUUUUUUCUUAAUUAUUCAACAAUGCCCGUGGGUCGCCCGCUAGCCCGUUUUAAAACGGGCAGGGCGUUGAUUUUGUCCGUUAACCAAUGUGGGCAUGCCCGCGCCUGCUUAAAUUUUUGCGGGCAUUUGCGAGCGUGAGCUAAACGAGUCGGGCGACCCAUUUUGCCAUCUCUAGUUGUAUAUAUACAUUAUAACAACGUAAGAUAAGCAUUGUUAAUCAUGACAAUAUAUUACUGCGGUCAAACAAAAAGCGCUCAAAGUGCUAUUAUGUAUCCAAAAUACGCACUGUUGAACUGCAACUCUAGCGUAGUGAAACCUUAUACUUGAGUUAGUUACCUUCUAGUUGUAUACUCAUAGGUUGGAUAUAAUGGGUAAUAGCAAGCCAUGAAAAAUAUGAGAUUGAACAUACUAUAAAUAAAUGAGAAGCAUGAUUUCUGAAAUGACAAAAGAAUGAAUUAAUAGAAACUCUUAAUGAAAUUUAUACUCUAUUUGUAAUUGAGUACUUAUUAGGCUGACUGAAUGCUCUUCAUAAACUCGUUUAUGUGAAUGUGGAAGUAAGGGUCUCUUUUUAUGAAAUUAUGGACAUAAUUUUAUAAUGUUAAUUAUAUUGUGAUAACGUAUGAACUUUAUUGACUACACCUAAUGAAAACUGUGUGUAUGAUUUGAUGUAAGGAAUAUAGUUGAAGGUUUUGAGUCACGAUAGUAAAAAAUGAAUAUUAUUGACUACGCAAAAUUUCAUGUCCUUAGACAUCUUUGUUUAUACCCAAUUUUAUGGAAAAUGUUAUUGCUCAAGAGCAAUGUUUUUUUUUUUAAAUUUAAGUAAGGGAUUGUUAGAAGAAUAGUAGUAUUCUUAAAAAAAGAAGCUUAGAUGACUAAUUUAGACAAGUCAAAUAAGUGAAUUAUAAAACGAAUGACAUUAUUAGAUAUAUAAUGGUGUAAGACUCUACUAGAUUUUCAGGAUGACUAAAUGAUCAAUGAUUUAAUUCUUAAAAACGACACUUGUUGAGAGAGACAAUCACAUAUCCUGAUUUAAUGUGUGUUUUAAGAAAAAGUGUAACUCCAAAAUAUAAUGCUUUUUUGAUCAUUUCUCUUUGUUUUUGUUCACUUAUACUCAAACAUUUUGAACAUUUACUACAUUUGCUUGUUUUGUUGUCAAUUACGCUAUAAAAGAAUAUUAAGUUUGAAAUAUUAUUUGAAACAAAGAAUAUUGAAUGUACAAAUUUGAGCAUUUUUCACCAUUUAAUGGAACAUUGUAUAACAUAGAGAACUAGAUUGUUUUACCUUUAAGAAGAGACAGAGAAUAAGAACAAUUAUACCGUUGAGAGUAAUGUCAUAAACGUCUUACAAAAAGUAAUCUAAUCCAUGACUUAACAUUAUAUUGAUAUGUGUGUAUAUAUUGCUAUAAAUGCAUUAAUAUCGAUGGAUACUAGCAUUUAUUAAUUUAUUUGUAUUUUCUGGAUCAUGAUUCAUGAACGUCUUAAAAAAAGUUAUCUAAUCCAUGGCUUAACCCAACAACAACACCAAUAUAGUCUUUAGAAACAAUACUUCCCAUUCCAAGUUUCUCAACACUACAUCUUGUUGCCGUAUCAAUAUACAGCAUUUUGUAAGGGGCACAUUAAUGUACAAAUAAGUAAUCAUUAAUCGAUACUAUAUGAUAUACGAUUAAAAUAUAUCAAAGGCUAAGUUUGACACUAUAAACAAUAAUUUUGAAGUUUAAACUAUUCAUACAUCUGAUAUACUACUAGGAAAAACUCUACAUGAUAUACAAGAGGUUUCCUUUAGGGAGAAUGAAAAUAAUGCAGAGUGUAUUUAAUGUUAAAGAUGACAUAUUCAAACUCAUGAGGGUAGAAGGAUUGCAUGUCAAACUAAAUGAGUGUAAUAUUUAUACAAUGUUAGUGUAAAAAUUUAUACAUGUUUAGUACAUCAUCCAUCAUUUAUUAAUAUUACUUUUUUAAAUAUUAAUGAUGAUUAAAAAUAAAUAGUAAAUGAUACAUUAACAAUAUAUAAAACUCUUACAUUAUUGGUUCAUAUUUUUUUCCUUCUCAAACUCAGUAUUUCAGGCGACCAUUAACCACCUUUUCUUUAUGUACAUGUUAAGCUCGCUUGCCCAUGCACGCACUUAGAAAUGUAGUUGUUGGAUUUGGUACAUGCUUAUAUUCACUCUCAAUUUUAAAAGAUCAUGUGACCUUAUAUUCACUUAGAAUUGUAGUUGUUGAAUUUGGUAAAGAUUUAUAUACAAUCAGUAAUGUAUCAUUGAUAUGUAUUAUUUUUAUUUAAGAGUCAAUAAUGAUUGAAACUAAAUGAUAAAUAAUAUAAUAAUGAUAUAAAAAUUUCUUACUACAUUUAACAUAUGCUCAUUCAGUUGUUAGCAUGUCGCAUGUACUAAUAUUACGUCCCAUUUAUCGGAUCCAGAAGUUCCUCAUUCCCUUGGAGCCCUUUGACCCUAUUUUUUAGGACUCAUAUCAUACUAGAUAUGAGUUUGGUCCCUUUUUCAUAUCAUAAUGGUCCCUUCAACUCAAUCUACCUCAUUAUCAACAUUGUAGCAUUGUACCCAAACAGGUUUGGAAUCCUUUCUAUUUACGUCUAAUACCGGACCCAACCAAGACUAUAAUAUUUGAUACUAAGAAAUUGAAGAAUCUAGAUUUUUAAUUAAAAAAUUAAAAAAAAUGUAAACAUAUUUUAUCUCUCACAUUCAAAUACUAAAAGGUAGAGGUGUUCGCGGUUCAUUUGGAUCGGUUAUUAAGCAAAAAAUCACCCGAUCCAAAUGCGUAAUUAGUAUGCGGUCCGGUCCGGUCCAUUUAUAUUAAGAUGUCCGAUCCAAUCCGGUCCAAAUAUUAUAUGCGGUUUCGGUCCGGUUUGGAUCGGUCUAUUUUUUAGAUAUAAACAUAUAAACUUCUUCAAUUUUAGCCUACAACACCAACAAGGUAGUAACCAGAACAAUGAAGAAAAAUUUGAUUCUUUUAAUAGCAAGAUUAGAAACAUCAAUAUUCAUAUUGUUACGACAGUUUAUAUGCGUUUUUGCUGUGUUUAGCUUACUGCUUAAUGCUUAUGUGAUAUAUUUUACUUAACUUAAUAAUAUCGGUCCCGUCUGGAUCGGUCUGGAUCCCAGACGUGAAACCGAAGACCGGACCGGACCGAUCGGUCCUUAAAAAAUAAAUCCAAUACGAUACAAAUACAUUUGGUUUUUGCAGUUCCGGUCUAUUUUGGAUCGGUUUGUGGUUUUUAUUUUGGACCGGUCUAGAUUUGAACACCCCUACUGAAAGGUACCAGAUAUGAGCUCAUUUAAGCCAACCAAUACUUACGCACAUUGGCUUGACAAUUAGUCUACAUUCGUGACCUUGUUGUCAAUAUUUAUAUAUUGCCAUGAAAAAAUUUAUACAAAUUAAUACAUCAUUCCUCAUUCAUUUUUUAAAAAGUCAAUAAUGAUAAAACAUAUAAAUAAAUGAUACAAUAAUAUUGUAUGAAUCAGUGAAUACUUUUUUCUCAUCAAAUAAUUGAUGGACGUGGUUGUUUGUUUUCUAUCGAAACUAGUAGGAUACCCGUGCAUUCGCACGGGUGAAAACAUAUUUAGGUAGAAUGUAUUUAAAUAAUACAAAGUAAUUUGUCAAUUAAACAUUUGCUAAUGCUUACCUGAUGAAGUUUGAUGUUUAUGUAUCUUUUUGAUGUAGUAGAGUUGUUGGCAAAUAACAUGGUGUAUAACCUAUUGUAUGAAACAAAUAAUAAAUAGUUAUAAACAAAAUUGAUAUAGUAAAAUUUAAGAUAAGUUGUAGAAUACUUGUUAGAGAUUUUGAAAGACUUCUUUAUAAACCACAUUUGUUGUUGACUGUAGUAGUUUACCAUCCUUAUCAUGAAUUAAAAUCUUCAACCCCUUCUUGCUUUUAACUCUUGAGAUAGCCACAUAUAAUUGACCAUGACUAGAUACUGGUCUAGGUAGAUAUAAGCAUACACUCUCUAAUGAUUGACCUUGAGAUUUAUUGAUUGUCAUAGCAUAUGAAACAACUAUAGGGAAUUGUCUUCUGAUAAGCUUGAAAGGUCAUGGACAUUGGCAUGGUGACAUUGACAUGCGAGGAAUAUAUAUGAUAUGUCCAACAUUUUUACCUGACAUGAUUUUUGCUUCAAGCACAUGCUUUGCCAUUUUAGUGACUACCAUUCUUGUACCAUUACACAAUCCUUCUGACUGGUCUAUAUUCCUCAAUAACAUAAUUGAAGUUCCAAUUUUUAACUUAAUUUUAUGAUUAGGGAGACUAGAUGUUGAAAGUAAGUUUAGAAAUUCUAAAGUUAGUAUGUUGACUGCUUCAAUAUCAUUAGCAUCAGACAUAUCAACUGAAUCUGAACUUUAAUAGUAAUAAUAUAAUAAUAAUAAGAGUGAGUAUUCAUUUUAGUUCUCCUAUCGAAAAAUACAAAUUCAAACUAAUAAUCAUCAUGAAUGUAAGUCAAAAUAGUCUCUAUGAGUAGUCAUACAAAAUACUAAAAGGACUAAUUUGACUAAGACCAUUUUAAGUUUUUUAAUUUGUUAGACUAAUAAUGAUGAAUGAGGAUGACCUUUUAAUCUCAGAAUUGAGGUCGGAGCUUCGGUCAUCAAAAGCAGCAGAAAUUAUUACCCUAAAAUAAAUAAAUUUCCAGGAUUUUCGCCUAGGCGAACGAGGCGUCGCCGGGGCAAGCGAAAGUCUGCCCGGGCGAGCAAAAACUCGAUUGGGCGAAAAAAAAAUUAAAAAUAAAAAUAAAAAUUUCCAGAAUUUUAAUGAGUUUCUGGAACCCCCUCGCUUGGGCGAGAGAGGUCUCGCUUGGGCGAUAAUACUUUCGCCUAAAAACAAUGUUGUAAUAUUUAAUUGAUGAUGGGAGUUGAGAAUUGAAGUUACCGUGAAAAGAUAGAAGGGUUCGGCGAAUAAGUAUUCAUUUUCCUCGCUUAUAGUUAUACAUUAGAAAAUUUAUUAGUAUAAGUCUAUAAAUAUAUUAUAUAGGCGGAAAAAAAAAUUUGAAGAGAAAUAAAAUAAAUUUACUUGGAAUUUUGCUUAGAACAUAUUUAUUGAUUUGGUAAACAAUAUCAAUUGUUGAUGCAAGUAUUGCUCUAGAUUGCAGAAAUUGUCCAUCCUUGUAGUGAAGAUGUAAGUUCGGAUAAGUGUUGGACACUAUUGUAUCAAUUAGGUUAUCAAAAUCAAGAAUAUAAAGUUCCUCUGGAAUGUCAACUUCAACACAACCAUCGUUAGGCUCAGAUAAUUUUCCAUCCCCAACCUUUAGUAUCCAUUCUGAGAAUUCCUUAAUCUCUGUUGCAUUGUCGUUAUUUUAUAAACACAUGUUCUUCUUAAGAUUCAAAAUUUUACAUUGAUGUCAAAGAUAGGAUGAGUUAAUUGUUGAACGUACAAUAUCUGAACGACACCCUCUUGGAAUCACUGACAAGAUUGGUCUAAAAUCACCUCCGAAAACUACAACCUUUCCUCCGAAUAAAAUUGAGUCAUUUGUUGUUGUACCCAUUAUAUCUGCUAGACUUCUAUCAAGUGCCUCAAAGCAAAACUUAUGUGUCAUCGGAGCUUCAUCCCAUAUAAUUAACUUCGUUUGUUUUAGUAAGUCAGCAAGUUCAGAACCUUGAUGAAUGUUGCAAACACAGUUCUCAACACUUGGUACAGGAAUUUUGAAUUUAGAGUGUGUAACACUGCGAAUUUUACGAGUUUGAAUUAUAAGAUUUUACUAAUAUUUUCAUUAAUUAUAUAUUCGAAAAUGAAUUUCUGGGAAUUUUCGGUAAAGAAUUAGACGAAACUCUAGUUGAGUUUUAUUCUUGAAAUUUUAUUUCCAAUUUUGUGGUAAAUUUUGGAGACAGUCGAUUCUAGACCACUGUAAUUUUUGGAGACAGUCGAUUCUGGACCACUGCGGGGCCGAAUCCGCCCGGUAGGGCUCAAAACGCGUCUUUUUGAGUUUCGUAACUCGGAAUCGAAUUCCGAUCGCACCGUUGGAUUUGUAAUUUAAUUUUGAGUCAAUAUAGACCCUGAAUACACCCAUACCUAUUUUCUAGAAUAUUUUCAUUCGGAAUGCCGAAAUCCGAAAUUCUAAUCGGAUAUUAGGAUCAGGUGAUUUAUAAUACCCGAUCGAGUAUUGACCGAUAAUACUCGGGCAUGUUUAUCGCACAUGUCCACAAGGUGAUCAUUUUGCANNNNNNNNNNNNNNNNNNNNNNNNNNNNNNNNNNNNNNNNNNNNNNNNNNNNNNNNNNNNNNNNNNNNNNNNNNNNNNNNNNNNNNNNNNNNNNNNNNNNGGUUGUUGUGAUUGAGAUGUUACCUGGAGCAUGUACGGUUGACGUACUAUCGGGUCCCACGAGAAGCAUUCCUUGUCGGGAGAUGGCUUAAGGAUGGGCCGAUCAUGUGUUUGAUUAAUACAUUUGCAUUUGAUUCUGAUUAAGAAUGCAUUGCAUUGUGACCAUGAAGUAGUGGAGAGGAAAUGACGGGACGUCUUCGAGCACCGUGAAGUAAGCAGGGACGGCACUGAUUGGACGGUGAUUCGCCAACAUUGUCUUGAGGGAGAGUCUGGGUGAGACGAGUCCCUUGUAUUCCUGGGGAGGUACCCUGUUGGAUCGGACAGUUCUCACAGGCCAAACUAGGCAAUCUCUGACAACCCCUGGAUUGCAUUCGAGAUCGAUGAGAGGGAUGCCCUGAAAGCGUUUGUACGACCUAGGUCCGGGUAGGACUGUUCCUGAGGGAACCGAUCGAUCUAUUUUUUUAUUCCUUGCGAGGAUAUGUUAUUUCGGGUGGUACAAAACGGCUUGGUACGGGACCUGUACUCUCGAUUAUUUCCGAUUAGGAUGUUGGAUAGAAAUUGGUGAAAGGUGGAUGAUCAUGACAUAUCAUGCAUACAUUAUCAUUGUGGAAGUAAAUUCCCACAUGUGAGUUACAAGUAUGGUGUAUUCCUAUGUUUAUGUAUGUGAUCUGAUUAUUAGUAUAAUGUUGAUUAUAUUAUUUGAUAUAUUGGUAAUGUUGAAAUAAAUGGUGGGUUAUAAUGUCGGUGAUAGAUAUUAUAUGUGUAUGUUAUUAUUUGGAAUAUGAUCUCCACUUAUGUGUUAUUUAAUUAUAGUCACGACAUCUUGUCGAUGAAUGAUAUAUUGAUAAAUGUUGAAUUAUGAUAUUUAUGGGAAUAAGUGUUGUUUACAUUACAUAGGUUGAUAAGAUAAUUGUUUAUGAGAAGAAUUGAUGAGUCUGGUUAUGUUACUCAUGUGAAUUAGAUAAUUGUUUAUGAAAACAACUGAUGAGUCUGGUUAUGUUACUCAUGUGAGUUAGAUAAUUGUUUAUGAGAACAAUCGAUGAGUUUGGUUCUAUUACUCAGGUAAAUUGGAUAAUUGUUUACGAGAAUAACUGAUGAGUUAUAAUGUAAUAUGUUAUAUAUAUAUGAACUAUUUUUCAUAUCUGAGUGUAAUAUUCUGAGUAAGUCCACGCCGUCAAUGAAUUUACGUUCAUUAGAUGUCUUACUCUCUCUAUUUCUCUUCUUUUCUAUUGUUUGCUUUUCGGACGUGUGCUCGUCAGAUAAGACAGCUUUGCUCGGAUUUGGAGCUACUUGUCCAUGAUGUUCCAGGAGGGNNNNNNNNNNNNNNNNNNNNNNNNNNNNNNNNNNNNNNNNNNNNNNNNNNNNNNNNNNNNNNNNNNNNNNNNNNNNNNNNNNNNNNNNNNNNNNNNNNNNGUGACUUUUGAAACAAGGACGGCUUCAGUUUGUUCAUGUCUUUGUUUAGUGUCUGUUGGCGAUGAUUAACAUUUUCGCCCUUUCUUUUUGGAUUUUGUAUAUGUUAGUGGCGAUGUAGUUUCCGCCUUUGUUGAUUUAGUUUGUAUGAACUAAAUAUGACUUAACCGUUUAUAUGCAUUGUGUUAUUCAGGAAAUUGUGAAUCAGGUUAAGUUAUCAUUCGAUAACGAUAAGUUGAUUUUCCGCAUUUGAGUUACUUAAAUUGAUGUCCCGGAAAAGGAAGGUUUUAAAAAGGAAACAAUUUUAUACAAUCUCUUUAUUCAAAAAAAAUUUUACCCAUUUUUCCACAAUGUUUUUGAGAAGUAUUUUUUCGGGGCGUUACAGAGUGUGUCGUUCUACUUCCUGGUAACAAUAAAGAAGCUAUACUACUAGAAGCAACAGUUAACACAAUCUGUUUUUGAGAUCUCAAAGCAUAUGUUAGAGUUCUCCACAUAUGAGUUUUACCAGUUCCUCCAUAACCAUAUAAGAAAAACAUCCAUCCUUGUUGUUGUUUUACAGCUUUGAUGAUAGUUUGGAAUAUCUUAGAUUGCUCGUCUGUAAUAUAUGAUAUAAACAUGUAGAAAUAAAUUUUUAUACUACAUAUAGAUUAACAAACAAUAAUAAUAGGAAAGCGAUUGACUACCUGUGAGAGAUUGGAAAAGAAGAUUGAAGUUUUCUUUUAAUUCAGUUGUAUCAUAAUUAAGUUCUUCAUAUAUUAGUCUGUUACCCAAUUGACUUGUGACAUAUCCAUUUGGGUAUGGCAUUGGAGGAUAGUCUUUCAAACUUCUCCGAUUUUGUUCAAGUAAUUUCUCAAUCUCCAACAGAGUUAGAUUCUGCAAUUGUUCAUCACUAAGCACCAACCCUACAAAUGGUCAAAAAAGUUGUAUAUGAUAUAAUAAAUUUACAUAAAAUAAAUAUAAAAUAUAUAAUUUAAAUAUAAUUAUUGUAUACCUCGAUUAUUAGAAAUAUUUCUUUGAUUGUAAAGAAUUCCAUCACAUAACCAUUCCCACGUUUCUUCCCAAACUUGAUCUGGUUUAUUCAUAGAGGUUGAUAAGAGCAUUGUAACAAAUAAUUUCCUGAGGUAGAAUCCAGAACCCCAAUCCUUGGCUUCUCUUAGUGCUUCAAUAUAUUCUCUAUCAUCUUGAAGUAAGCCGAUUGCAAAACAUGCAUCUUUAAAUAUAGGAUAUUGAAUUUCUGCCACUGUUCUAAUAUCUUCAUAACUUGUUGGGCCCUUAACCACUGUCAACAUCAUCCUAAGAUAAUAUAGGUCACCAGUGCAUGGAGAAACCCAGAUUAGUCUACCAAUUGUAUAACCUGAUUUUCUUGGUUUCCAAGUCCUACUCUUUUUCACGUAAACAAAUUUUGACACAUAUUGAGCAUUACUCAAAUUUCGACCUUCUGGAUAUUGUUUAUUAGCUUCCAUCGAGGAUGUGAACAUAGACUCUAAUACUAUUGGUCUUGAAAGUAUAUUGUCAAUAUCAUCUUGAAAGUAAAUGUAUUCAAUGAUUUUUGAGGAUGAAUAUGUUGGCAAAAUAAACUAACUUACCUUAUGCUUAAACUCUAGUGUAAGACAUUAUGAAAAAAGUUCUAACUUUAUGGAAGGAAAGUUCAUAGCAUUGGCCGAAUGAAAGAAAAGUUAUUAUUAAAAAUGUUAAACAUAAUAAGAAAAGAAGAUGAACAAAUUAUUUUGAGAAUGUUAAACCAAAGACCUAAGAAAAAUUUCACAAAAAUAUAUCUAUUUUCACCCAGAAAAAUAAAAAAUUUCACCAAAAAAUACCUUCUUUCUUCCAUAUGAAUGUUUCUAUGGUGAGAAGAAGGUCAAAGUCAGUUAAAGAUAUCAAAAUAAACUAACUUACAAAAUGAUAAAAAAAAUAUAGAACAUAUAUAAAUGUAUUCAAUGAUUUUUGAGGAUGAAUAUGUUGGCAAAAUAAACUAAGUUACCUUAUGCUUAAACUCUAGUGUAAGACAUUAUGAAAAAAAUUCUAACUUUAUGGAAGGAAAGUUCAUAACAUUGGCUGAAUGAAAGGAAAGUUAAUAUUAACAAUGCUAAACAUAAUAAGAAAAGAAGAAAUGAAGAUGAACAAAUUACUUUGACAAUAUUAAACCAAAGACCUGGACAAUGGUUUGGAAUGAGGAGAAGGAGACGUUGGGUGUUGUAGGAAGAAAAAGGCAAUCUACUCUUUGGCUAUUUUAAAAAAGAAGAAGGAGAUAAAGCAAUCUGCUCUUUGGCUAUUUUAAAAAAUGAGAAGGAGAUAGUGUGUAGAAUAAAAUUUUACUUACUUUUUAAAAAAAAUUGUCAGGAAACUUUUCUGCUCUUUGGCUAUUGUAAUGAUGUUAUUGUCAAGACUUACUUUUAAAGUUCUUGUCCUUUUUGUAAAAUUCUGUAAAAUGAUACAUAAUGUUUAACUGGUUUUUUUAAAAUAAAAAAUACUGAGAUUACAUAUUUACCCUUAGAAAUGCCAAGUGUCAAGGAAAGGGGAAACAUAUUUAAGGGAUUAUACCAACCCCUUUAAUUAAUAUAUAGAUAUAGAUGUUCAACACUGUAGAUAUCUUUCUACCUGUACUACACAACUAGCUUGAUCACUCCAUUGUGUGUGUAGCACGUUAAUGAGGGCCAUGUAAGUUGUACACCAAAGAGUUGAAUGUUAUUUCUGCUUUACGUGGCCACUUCACAUCCCUUGAAUCUAAAGGACGAAAUGUUUAGAUGUUAUUGUUUUUGUGUAUGGUAUGAGAAGAUUAUAGCUUAUUUGAUAGAUUAUAUUUUAUGGACUCAAUUAAAAUUGUGUAUAGUGGUUUGUGAAAAAAUAAAUAAAUGAAGAUUAUAAAUUUUGAAAAUGGAGAUCGUUGCUUUUAAAAAUUAGUUCUUCAAAAUCUACUUGUUUUUGUUCAGAGAUUGAAAAGCGUCAACAAUUGUAUAGAUUAACAAACAAGGUUUAUUCAGAUGUCUAGAAUUUGAACUCCUAGUAAUAUAACUAUGUUAAAUACCAGAGCUUUGAUGCUCAUGAUUAUCAUACAUGACAAUAAGGAAGAGUACCUCCAAUAAAUGAAAAAUAUCUCAAUUUUAAAGGAAAAAGGUGGAUUGGAAAGCCACUCAAAAUAAUUAUCCAAAAAUUACAAGGUUUUGUUGUUACCGUAACUUGCAACAAUUUUAAAUGACAUGAAGUAUUACUUAUUGGCUGAGUCACGACUAAUUCGCUUUCUUUAAGACGUUUCAUGACACUCCCAAAAUAUGCAAGCAGAAUAUCAACAACAUCGUCCCAAUGAUAAAACAGCUCAGAUCUCUGUUAUUGAAUUCUUACUGUACUGUAAGAACCGAUCUCAAAUAUAUCCACCACAAUAUGGCUACCAAUGCUCAUUCUCGAAAUACCCACAAUAUGACUACAUGUGUCAAUUCCUUUCCUACAAUCUGACUACUAGCGUCAGUUCUCGAAAUUCUCACAAUUUGGCUACUUGUGCCAAUUCUAGUGUCAUGAAAAGAAAUGAUGAGAAGUUUGUUAAAAAAGCAUCGGUAAAAAAUAUGAGAGAGAAAGAAAAAGUUGAAUGAAAAUGCAUUCAACUUAUGACAAGAAAAUAUGAAGGAAAAGACUUAUAUUUAUAACAUAUGAUUUUUUUUCUCUCCUAUGUGGAACAUGGGAGUUGUUUUUCAAAACUCUUUUAUGUGAGACUUGAAAGUUCUUUAGAUUUCACACCUAAAAGUUCCUAUUAAUGACUUCCAACAAUUCGCAACUUGAAAUUAAAAAACAAUUUCUGAGAAUUUUUAUAGUCUCAAUAAGAUUGUACAUAAACAAAUGUGUCAUGCGACUUGAACCUUUGCAUAGUAAAUAAGAUCCAGAUUUUACUAGAGUAACUCAUAGUCUUAAACUCUAUCUUUGACACCAAACCACACAACCUAUUCAAAGGUGUAUUCUAUAAAGUCUGUGCGUCAUCCCAUUAUAUUGAACAAUCUAGAAAUUUAUGCCCCAAAUUUAUAGGAAGCGACCCCCACUUCCACAUUCACGUAGGUGGAUCUAUCAAGAGUACUCAUGUAGCCUAGGUACUCUACUCCAAUUGGAAAAUAGAUCUCAUUAGAAGUUUAACUUAUCCUUAUAUAUAUAGUACAUGAAUCAUAUUUCUCAUAAUUUUAUAGCAUGCUCAUUCUCAUAUCAUUUCACAACUUGUUAUUAUACAUUGACACUAUGCCAAAUUUGAUAUAUAACAACGCCUAUUCAACAGCGAAUUUCAGAAUAACGUUGUUAAUAAAAAAAAGCGGAAGCUAAAUAACAUCACAUACUCAAGCGCACACUGUUAAACUGGAUCCAUGAAUAACACUUCAACAACACAUACGUUUGUACACGUUGUUAAUGAAUGAUGUAUUAUAAGAGUGAUCUUUAACAACAGACAUUUAAGUUUGCGUUGUUAGUUAACAUAUCAUCAACAACGUCAUCUCAAGAUUGCAUUGUUAGUUAACAUAUCAGCAACAACACAUUUUUAAAUAUGCGCUGUUGAUGAGUUUUAAAAUUAUUAUGACAUAUUUUUAUUAAUGUCACAUUGACAUGUCAUUAUUGGUGUUAUUAUUUGAAUGUCAAUAAAAGUCACAAUUAUUUAAAUAUUCUACAUACUUAAUUAAUUGUUAUUAACAUUAUGUCAUUAUUUUAAUAUAUGUAUCUUUUAAUUGAUAGCUACGUUGUGUUGUUUUUCUAAUUUGGAGGCUCUUUAAUAUCAAUAUCUCAAGAUUGCGUUGUUAGUUAAUUGAUAGUUGUGUCGUUAUUUUAAUUUGAAGGCUCUUUAACAGCGCCAUCUCAAGAUUGCGCUAUUAGUUAAUGUAUCAUCAACAACACAUUCUUAAAUAUGCCUUGUUGAUGAGUUUUAAAAUUAUUUUGACAUAUUUUUAUUAAUGUCAUUAAAAAUUAUAUUGACUUUAAUGUCAUUAAAAAUUAUAUUGACUUUAAUGUCAUUAUUUGCAUGCUAUUAUUGGUGUUAUUAUUUGAAUGUCAAUAAAAAUGACAAUUACUUAAAUAUUCUACAUAAUUAAUUAAUUGUUAUUAACACUAUGUCAUUAUUUUAAUAUAUGUAUUCUUUAAUUGAUAGUUACGUUGUGCCAUUUUUUUAAUUUCGAGACUCUUUAAAAGUGUUAUCUCAAGAUUGCGCUGUUAGUUAAUUGAUAGUUGUGUUGUUAUAUUAAUUUGAAGGCUCUUUAACAACGUUAUCUCAAUAUUGCACUGUUAGUUAACAUAUCAUCAAAAUCGUAAUCGUAAAUAUGUGAUGUUGAUGAGUACUCUUCAACAACGCAUUAUUAAAUAUGCGCUCUUGAUAUGUUACAAUGUUUUAAAUAUGUGAAGUUGAUACACUUACCUCUACACUCUCAAAACUUGUACGAUAAAAAACUCUCAAACCCUCUGAACUUUCAAACACUCAGAAACCCUCAUACAACUUCAAAAACUUCAGCAAUGGCUUCUCAUAGUAAUGAUUCUCACAUUGGUAAUGAUACAACAAUACCUACUACUUCUUCAAACGUCCUCCUCGUAGAAUGACUUGCAUGAAGAAGGUGAUUUGUGCAAGAAGUAAGAACGUGAAUAUACCAACUGAAUGGAAAACAAAAGGUCAAACAUUAAACAAGAAAAUUGGCAACACUUUGGUAAGCUUCAUCGGGGUCACGGUUAGACAAAAGGUGUCUAUCACAUUAUGUUGGAACUUGGUUGUGGGUGUGAAAUCUAAAAAACUCUCAAGUCCCACAUAGAAGAGUUUUGGAAGAAAAAACUCCCAAGUCUCACAUAGAAGAGUUUUGAAAGAAAAAACUCUCAAGUCUCACAUAGAAGGAUUUUGAAAGAAAACAACUCCCAAGUCCCACAUUGGACAGAUGAUGAACUUGAAAAAAAUCUCAAGUUAUAAAUAGAAGCCUCCUCCCUUCAUAUUUUCUUACACCAAGUUGAAGGCGCAUCCUCUCAACUUUUUUUCUCCCCCCUAAUACUCCACCGACGCAUUACCGACGACCUUCUCCCCCUUUCUUUUCGUGGUACUUGAGAAUUGGCACAUGCAGCCAAAGUGGGAUUUUGAGAACUGAUACUGGUAGUCAGUAUUGUGAGUAAAGAAUUGGCACAAGUAGUCAUAUUGUGGGAAUUCGAGAACUGACACUGGUAGUCAGUAUUGUGGGUGUAUUCGAGAAUGAUUCUUACAGUGCAAUAAGAAAUCGUAUAACAAAGAACUGAGCUGGUUUAUCCUGGGGACAGCAUGGUUGAUAGUCUGCUUGCACAAUUUUAGAAGUACCACGAAACAUCUUAAAGAGAGCGACCUGGUCUUGACUCAUCCAAUAAAGAUUAUCUCGUGCUAUUCAGAAUUGUUGUGAGCUACGCAAACAACACAUUCAACUCUUGGACUGAUGUUCGAUUGAAUCCCUUGAAAGAGCAUAUUUGGAAUGAGAUUAUAGUAAGUUUCCAUUUACAUUUUUGUAUAUUAGUGUUUCCAUGCAAUGUAUAUGUGUUUUCAUGCAAUAUAUACGUGUUUUCAUGCACUGUAUAUGUAUUUAUUAUGUGUUGUAUAGUAAAAGUGCAAUGUAUAUGUGUUUUCAUACAAUGUAUAUAUGCAUAUUCUGUUUUCACAGUUCUGAUUUACAUGUUGUAUUAUGUGUUUUAGUCAACUUUUGAUGUUGGUGAGUAGCACAAGGAUUACAUCCUUAAAUCGGCUAGGAAGGCUCUCUGACAAUUCAGAAUCGAUGUCGGAAAGCUUGUUAGAGAUGCCGAUGGCAAACCCAACUUUCAAAUUCCAACCAGAUAUGUAAAUCAUAUUCGAUAGGAGGAUUGGAAGACUUUUGUCACUAUACGCACAAAAGACGACUCUUUCUUGGUAAAAUCAUAUUACUUUUUGUAUAUGGACUAUGUACUUAUGCUAUUGUAUAUAUAUAUAUAUAUAUAUAUAUAUAUAUAUAUAUAUAUAUAUAUAUAUAUAUAUAUAUAUAUAUAUAUAUAUAUAUAUAUAUAUAUAUAUAUAUAUAAAACAUAUGUAUCCAUACAGAGCUUCUCGAGCAGGGUAUAGAGGAGUUGAAGAAAAUAUUGUAAGUAUUGUUAGUUUUUAAGUACAUUAUUAGUUAUGUUUUGUAUCAUAAUUAAUUACAUUAUUAAUGGUUAUGUUUUUGCAGCUUGAGAAAACUGAUACUCCUUCGAGUUCACACACAGUAGAUCUCGAUGUUCUAUGGUUGGAUGCCCGUAAGAACAAGCAAGGCGUAACUAAUAAUGAAAAAUUUCAAGAAGUGGCAAACCGUGUUGUUCAGCCUUGAAUUCCCAGAAUACAUUGACAUCAAUGAAGUUAAGGAUGUCUACGAAUAUGCCUAGAUAGGUGCAAGUGUUCUAUGUGUAUAUGCAAGGUAAAUUAUGUUUAUUUAACAUUUCACUUUUGCAUUUAAUCACCAUUGACAUUAUAAUUAACUAACAUUUGUGUUAUAUAUAUAAUAGGUACUUGUAUAAAAACCUUAUCGAGAAAGAUAAGAAGAAGGUGAUGUUCUUAUCCCCAUAUUCAACUGCGGUGCCAAGUGUAAGAAUGAGAUUGCAACUAAGAGGGUGAGUGAAUUAGUUGACUUAAAAUUAUGGUAAGUUUUUCUGCAAAAAAUAUGAGUUAACGUGUAGCGGAUAAUAUUGCAUAAAAUAAAUAAGAAUAAAUCAAAGAGGUAAGGGAGAAGAGAGUACACAAGGAUUUUAUACUGGUUCACCUUCUUGUCCACUAAAGGCUAUGUCUAGUACUCUUCCAACACAAGAGAUUUUCCACUAAAUAUUAUGAGUUAUAAUUACAAUAUCUCACCCCGAGAUCUCUAAGUAUCUUACACACUCACUAAUAUUUAUACCAUUGGAAAACACUUUUCCAAGUUACUCUGUCCCCUUUCUAUUCACACCAUGUGAAAGAAAGUUUAUUGCAAUGAAUAAAGAAUUUCAACAAUGGCUUUGGAUUGCCUUUACAAGUAUGAAAUACUAUAACACUUGCAAUCCAAUCAACUCUCUUUUUAUACUUAGUAAUAAUUCUCAAUAGAUUUUUAAAACUUUGAAUCGAUUACUUUAAGUAACUCAAAAAAAUUCUCCUUUUGAAAGUUUAAGAACUUAGUGCAAAAGUGCAGAAAAAUAGUUAGAGAAUUUUUCAGAGUAGUAUGAGAGUUAUAUAAAAGUUGUGUGUUUAUGUUGUGAGAGUUAGAGUCUUUAUAUAGACUUUCCAAACACCCAUGGUGACUUUGUGAAAGUGUAGGAGUUGUUUGAAGUGAAGAGAUUUCAUUUAGAGUGAAAACAUUUCGUUUUGAAAUCUGAAAUCUCAUGUAAUAGUCUUCAGUAAUCGAUUACUUACAUUGGGUAAUCGAUUACCCAAACAUACUGUCCACUAAUUAUUUAAAAACGAAUUAGAGUAAUCGAUUACACCAUUUGGAUAAUCGGUUACUCAACUUUUGUAAAACUGGUAAUUUGUUACUCAAAGGCAGUAAUGGAUUACUCAUUUUUUAAGUUGGUUAACUCUUUUUCUCUCAUAUGUAACUUGUUACUUGAAUGAAGUAACCCAUUACACAUUAUUUCAAAAAAUGUUUUAAGUAUUUUAAAGUGUUUCAUUAUUCUUUAAAAAUGGUUUGAGCAUUACUACUUUGCAUAACAAGGAGUUUUAGGAUAAAAGUACCUAUAGAGACUUAAUCUAAUUUUUCUUGAAGCUUUAUUCUUCUUUGUCUACAUAAGUAUUCUUCCUUUUCUUCUUUUUGGUGAUGUUGGUGUCUUCAUCAAAAUCGUGUCAAGGUCAGGAGCAAAGAUCUUCUUCACACCAAGUAGUGCCACCACUAAGAAUGUAGGGGAUCAGACAAAUUAUGUGGCAGAGAUUAUGAUCUAAAGUAAAAAUUCUGCAGAUUUAUUCCUAGCACCUUUUAACCUCAUGUGAGCAUCUUGUAUAUGUUUGUCUUUGUAUUAUGUGUUUAACAUUUCGUAACUAUAUGCAUAUGUUUUGUUAGGAAACAUUGGCUUUUCGUUGUCAUUAAUCGGAUCGAGGAGCAAAUAUACUAUUUUGACUCAUUGAAACAUGAUGAUCCGAACAAAUACAUUGUUAUGAAAGAAAUCUUCACUAAUUGAGUGAACUAUUGUUUAGGGGGCUGCAAAUUUUGAGAGCCCAUAAUGUUCGUCCUAAAUAUUCAUCAAACAACAUCAAAUGAAUUCAUGUAAAUGUAUUGACACAAGUCAAUUCAAACAAUUAUAUAUAUAUAUAUAUAUAUAUAUAUAUAUAUAUAUACAUACACGUAUGUAUUAAUCAUAUUUAUGUGAAGGUUAUACUUAUAUGCUUACUUGAUUAUAAUUAUAGACCCCUGCCAAACCAAUAAUAAAUAUUGCGGCUAUUAUACACUGAACUACAUGAAGGAGAUUAUUCAGUAGUGGUCAGCUUGAGUCCAAUUUGAUGCAAAUCUAGAGACUUACCCAAAAAACCAAGUCAUCCAGAUUAGGGAAGAAUGAUCAAAAUAUGUACUUACUUUUAAAGAGUAGUAUAGGAAAUUCAAUGUUAGAUUAGGUUGUAGCAUAGGAAUUCAAUGUACAGUCACACAUAUUUACAACAAUGUAAUCAGUGUAUUUAGCUAUUAUGGUGUAAUCAAUGUUUUGUUCUAGUGUAUAUGUAGCUGUGAGAAUUUUGUUCUGUUCUGGUGUUCAACAUAUGUAUAUGUUUUGUAGCAUAACCUGUUUUGUAGGUUGAUGUAUGUAUCUAUUCAAUAUAUGCUUGGUGUUCUAUGUUUUGGAUGUGUUUUGGUGUUGUGCUGCAUCUUAGGAAUCAGUAUAUACAACAACGCAUAUUUAAGUUUGCGUUGUUGAAGUGUCAUAUACGACAACACAUAUUUAAGGUGGUGAUGUGAAUUACAUAUCUUCCACGACGCACAUUUAAGGUGAUGUUGUUAAUUACAUAUUUUCAACAACGCCACCUAAAAUAUGCGAUGUUGUAUACCUAAUGUUCAUGACAAUUGUGCAUCAACUAUACAACAGCGUCGCCUUAAAUGUGCGUUGUCGUAUACUAUAUCACUACCAGGUUUGAUUUAGUUAUCAUUAUUUCCUCUAAAUUAAUGUCAUUAAAAAUUACAAUUACUUAAUUAUUAUAUAUAUGUAACUGAUUAAUAUUAUCUGAAUGUCUCAGUCUCUUCAACAAAGCACAUUUACGGUUGCGCUGUUAGUUACAAACUCUUCAACAAUGUCACUUUAAAGAUGUGUUGUUGUAUAGCUAUAUAACUACCAGGUUCAAUUAGUCUCAUCAAUAGCGCAUAUUUAAGGUUGUGCUGUUAAUUACAUCUCUGCAACAUCGCAAUCUUAAAUAUGUGUUGUUGAAGACUCCGACCAGACCCUAAAAAAUAUAAAACUUUCCCACACUUAAACACAUUCUCCGCAAUACCAAAACACACUUAUCCAGUAGUGAAACUCAUUUACUCUCAAAAUCAUUCAACACCGAAAAUCAUUUACUCUCAAAAUCACUCUACCUCAAAAUCAUUCAACACCGAAAAUCGUUUACUCUCGUAAUCAUUCUACUUCAAAAUCAUUCAACACCGAAAAUCAUCACUCAUUCAACACCGAAAAUCAUCACUCGUUCAACACCGAAAAUCAUCACUCGUUCAACACCGAAAAUUAUCACUCGUUCAACACUGAAAUUGAGUUUUCUUUAUAAAUAUUUUGCCUUAUUUCAUAUAUUGAGUUUGAUUUCACCUUAUUACAUGAGUUUUUCUUAAUGUCCAAAUUGAUUUCACCUUAUUUCACUCAUUUAGCUUAUAUUGAGUUAGGGUUUCAUCUUUCAACUUAUUACAUGAGUUAGAAUGCAAUGUAUACCUUAGUUACCAUUUACGAGGAAAAUACAUAAGAACUAUAGAUUAACUCAUUAAUAUUUUUUGUCAAUUCCUUUCUAGAAAAUGGAUUGAAAUUGGAUGAGGGCAAAUCGAUUGACAAAUGAGUAUGAGGAUGAAGUAAAAUAUUUUGUUAGGUUUGCUACUAAUAAUGCUGAAAAUCUGAAUAAAAUUGUUCGUCCUUGUUUAAAAUGUUGUUAUUCCAACCGAGUUACUCCUACUAAGUUAAAAGUUCAUCUAGUCUAUCACGGUAUCAAUCAGAGUUACACAUGUUGGACAACGCAUUUUUCAGAAAAUAUAUGGUAUGGAUUAUCCUGAGACAAAUGCAUAUGAAGGGGAUUGUUUUGAGGAAAUGACAAAUGUUGUCGAAGAGGAUCUUCAUGAUUGUCCUAAGAUGUUUCAGCGGUUGAUAAAUGAUGUUGAGAAACCAUUAUAUUUUGGUUGUACUAAAUUCACUAGAUUAGCAGUGAUGACAAGGUUGUAUAAGUUGAAAUCAAUUAAUGGAUGGAGUGAUAAGAGUUUCACAGACCUACUUGCACUUCUGAAGGAUUUACCGGAGGAUAAUGCGCCCCCUUCUCGAACCUAUGAUGCUAAACAAAUGUUAUGCUCCAUUGGCAUGGAUUACAAUAGGAUUUAUGCAUAUUAAAAUGACUGCAUCCUUUUUUUUAACGAGUAUGCUUCAUUGAAGUUUUGUCCCAAAUGUAAUGCAGCGCAUUAUAAGAAGGAAGACUCAAUUCCCAAGAAGGUGGUAUGGUAUUUUCCCAUCAAAUCAAGAUUUAAGCGUAUGUUCAGCAAUGCUAAAGAUGCAAAGAACUUGACAUGGCAUGUUGAUGAAAGAACUAAAGAUGGCAAGCUUUGAUAUCCUGCAGAUUCUCCUCAAUGGAAAGAAAUUGAUCAUGACUAUCCUAGUUUUGGUCAAGAAUCAAGUAUACGCCUUGCAUUGUCAACUGAGGGAAUUAACCCACAUAGCAUUCAAAGUAGCUCCCAUAGUACAUGGCCAGUGAUAUUGGUGAUAUACAACCUACCUCCUUAUCUAUGUUAAUUUCUGGACCUAAACAACCAUGUAUAAAUUUAUAUGAUGCACAUAGAGAGGAAAGAUUCAACUUAAGGGCUAUGUUGUUCGGCAUAAUUAGUGAUUUCCCUACAUAUGGCAAUCUGUCAAGAUAUAGUACAAAAGGGCAUUUUGCAUGUCUUGUGUGUGAAGACAAUACUCAAUCAACGAGGUUGGAACACUAUAAGAAGAAUGUCUUCCUUGGAUAUCGUAUAUUUCUACGUUCUGAUCAUCACUAUCGAAGAUGGAGAAAAGCAUUUGAUGGGAACAUGAAGAAGGUCAUGCUCCUUUGUCGUUAACGAAUGACCAAUUAUUUUAAAAGCUAAGGGGUUUGAAUAAUAACUUCGGUAAACCUUUUGCAAAAGAAAUUGUCACAAAAGGGUGGAAGAAAAGGUCAAUCUUCUUUGAAUUUCCAUAUUGGAGUUCAUUAUAUGUAAGACAUUUCCUUGAUGUUAUGCAUAUUGAAAAAAAUGUAUUUGAAAGUCUCCUUGGUACCUUACUUAAUGUCCAUGGUAAGACCAAAGAUGGCUUGAAUGCAAGAUUGGACUUGGUUAGCAUGGGAAUAAGAAAUGAAUGGAGACUGAUAAUGAAGGGAAAAUGUACAUAUCUACCUCUAGCAGGUUAUACUUUGUCGAGGAAGGAGAAAAUAGAAUUUUGUAAGUUUCUCGAUGGUGUUAAAGUUCUAGAGGGGUACUCUUCCAACAUUCGGAACCUCGUAUCAAUGAAAGACCAAAAGUUAAAAGGUCUUAAGUCUCAUGAUUGUCAUGUACUCAUGGAGCAUUUCUUGCCUAUAGGCAUAAGGUCCAUUCUACCUAAAAAAGUGCGAGGAACCAUAACUAAGUAAUUAGGUUAUGCUUCUUCUUCAAGGCAAUUUGUAGCAAAGUGAUUGACCAUGAGAAAUUACAUGCAUUGCAAAGACAAAUUGUUUUGACUUUGUGUGAACUUGAGAUGUAUUUCCCACCAUCUUAUUUUGACAUAAUGGUCCAUCUAAGCAUUCAUCUUGUUCGAGAGACACAACUAUGUGGCCCUUCCUAUAUGAGAUGGAUGUACGCUUUUGAGCCUUACAUGAAGACAUUAAAAGGCUAUAUGAAGAACCGAUCAAGACCAUAGGGUUGUAUUUUUGAGAGAUAUAUUGUUGAAGAAGCUCUUGACCUUUGUAUCGGAUACCUUUCCGAUGGUGAUUUCAUAUGCAUUCCAAAGCCUCGCUAUGCGAAAAGAAUAUUAGGUGAAUGGAUUACUGGGAAUCCAAUACUCACCAUCUCAAGAACCGAAUUGGAGCAAACACACUUAUAUGUUUUACAUAAUGCUGAUGAGGUUGGGUCAUAUGUUGAAAGACAAAAGAAGAUGCUUAGGAAGUCUAACCCAAAUAAGAAUGAAAAUUGGAUUUCCAAAGAGCAUAAUCGGUGUUUCAUAAAUUGGCUAAAUAAUCACAUUGUUGAGGAGUUGAAUACAAAGGCACAUUCGAUUUCCGAAAGAUUGAAAUGGUUAGCCAAUGGUCCAAGUAUUCAUGUCUUACCCUACACUGAUUACCUAAUUAAUGGGUUCACAUUUUAUAAAAAGAUAUGUCAAGUGCUAAAGAUAGAAACCCAAUAUAUGCGAGUAUGUCAUAAUUUGGGGUCACUGAACAAAUAUGGGAAUUGGAUCACACAAUGUUUUGAUUGCCGGUUUUUUGUUGUAUGUAGGUUGAUAGCAAUAAUGACUUUCGAGUUGAUGAGUUAGGGUUCAUGUAGAUGGAUCUUAAUCGACAAAGAUAUAAAGAUGAGCCAUUUAUUCUAGUAUCACAAGCUCAACAUGUAUUUUAUGUUAGUGACCCAGCUGAUAAGAAAUGGUCUAUUGUUCUUUUGACAAACAAAAUAAUCAUCAAUAAUAUUGAUGACCAAGAAAAUAAAGAUAUUGAUACCGAAGAUGAUCCUUUUUUUUGGGACGUCACAAUAGCAUGAGAUGGACCAACUAGGGAUGAUGAUUUAUAUACAAGAUAUGAUCACAAUGAGGGGAUUUGGGUGAAUCAAUAUAUUCCUCCAAACAAUGAUAUUACAAGCCAUAAAAGAUCAAAGAAAGGGAAAAAAGUAGAUGCACGUCUUUGUAUGUAAUUUUAUGUACUUUGACAAAAAUAAAUGGUGUGAGAAUAUUGUUUGCAAUUUAUAUUGUAUUGAUUUUUAUGUAUAAUACAAACUAUUUGGAUAUACAUUCAGGUAUUAAUGUGCAUGUGUUGUUGAGAAUAUAUAUCUUUGUUGUUGAGUAUAAAUAUAUGUCUUGUUGAUCAAUGUAUAUGCAGGUAUUAAUGUUUCCUGUUGAGAAUGUUUGUUCUAUGUGUUUCAUAAAUGUAUAUGCAGAUGUGCAAUAAUCAACAGUGCAUGCUACUGGAAGCUCAUCCAUGCACUAUUAUAUAUGCAAUUUAACAUUGCAUAUUGUAUGUAGCAUUGUUGUAUAUGUCAUAUAUAUAACAGUGCUACCAACGAUAUGCGUUGUUGUAUUGUAUUGUACUGUAUAUAUAUAACAAUGUACAUUGAAGGUAGCGUUGUUAUAUAUAUGGCCUAUACAACAUCUCUACCUACAAUAUGCACUGUUGUAUUUAUACAAGACAACAUCGUGUUUUUACAUUGCACUGUUGUAUUGGUCACAUAUCUAACAACGCACAAUGGAGGUGUCGUUGUUGUAUAGUUUACAUACAACAAUGCUCUUGAAUGCGCUAUCAAAGAAGGAUAUAUACUACUACGGUCACAUAGUCCGCACCCGAAAGCGCUGUUAUGUACCUGAAAUACACGCUGUUAAACUGCAUAUCUCGCGUAGUGUGAACUUAUUUCUUAGGAUCUCCAACCAAUUAGGCCGGAAUACCAUCAUGAGUGAUCUUGUUCUAAAGGCAAUAGUCUCAUACUCUUAGACGUAUUAUGGACUUUCUCUUUAGGUACUCCUUUUGUCAAAUGAUCUACUAAGUUAUUCUCAAUACGUACAUGUUCCACUCUAACAGCUCCUAUAGAGAGUAACUCUCUAAUGAUAUUAUGCUUACGACAUAUUUGUCGUUUCUUACUGUUAUAAAAAUGGUUCUCAAUUUUUGCAAUAGCCACGAUACUACCAUAGUGGAUCAACACAUGUUAUAUCGGUUUUUCCCAUUGGAGAAUCUCUGUAAGCAAGUUUUUCAACUAACUUGCUUCUUCACUAGUUGUUGCUAGUGCAAUCAUCUUAACUUCCUAAUGGAUUGAGCUAACAUAGUAUUUUUUUUUUUACUUCCAAGAAACAUUCCACUAACUAUGCUAAAUUAUAGCCACUGGUUACUUUAGAAUCAUCUGUAAGAGUAUUCUAAUCAAAAUCGUUGAAUCCUUCUAGGACACCUAGAAACCUACGGUAAUGUAAUCCAAGGUUUAUUAUUUUCUUAAGGUAUUUCAUUACCCUUUCUAUAGCAUGUCAAUGCUCCACACUAGGUCUCGAUAGACUCUAGAUAGUUCAUCUCAUUAUUUAUGGCCUCUUGCUACAAAUCAGUAUCCAAAGAAAUCAAAGCUUCUUAGAGAGUUAAUGGAUCCUCCUCCAAUUUAUAAACCAUAUAAUCAGGUCUAUAUUCUCUAGUAGUUAUUGCUCUCUUCUUCUAGGUCUUAUUUCAAACCUUUCCUUUUUUAUCAUUAUAUCUAAUCAUAUGUAUGUGACUAGCUGAUGUGCCUCCACUAUUCCUCAAUUUAAAAUGGAAUUUCAAUUCAUUGAAGUCAACAUCAUUAGACUCAAUGAUCACUUUUGUGUUAAGGUCAUAAAUGUAACACCCUGAAAAUUACUCCAAAAAUAUUGCUCAAAAAUGAGUAAUUUUUUUUAAUGAAGCUAUAUAAAAUUUAUUUCCUUAUAUUUGUUUCAUUUUUGGAACAUCACUUUAAGUAACAUACAAUGCAGAAAAAUAAAAAACCAUUACCAAAAAUAACUCAACAUAACUUCGAAUAAUACUUCAUUAGAAUAAAGGAUAAUAUUGGUACGAAAUACAAGGGAUAAAUAAAUCUUCGCCCAAACUGAAACUAUACAAAAAGGCUGAGACAUUAAGCACAUCAAAAAGUACUCUACACAGAUACCCUACUCAAAAGCAAAAUAGAAAUGGAAAUGGCUCCUAACGGCUAGCUCCCGUGUCCGCGGGUGCGCUAGAGCACUCGCUCGGGUCCUCCUCCAUCUCAGAGUCGGAGGAGAGGUUUAUAACUUCAAUGGAGUCCUCGAUGCAGAUCAACUCCACAUAGUCAUCAUCUACAGUUGUUGGCUCCUCACAGUCACCAUCUCUUCCUCUGGGACAUAGGACGAAUGUUGCAAUAGAGACACCACCCUUGUAUCUGCCUAGGGUUCUAGCAUGGUUCGUCGAAUGGCUCUCCUCCAUGGUGGGGAACUGAUCACAUCAUCCCAAGUCUGUCGCCUCCUGGAUGGCUCUACAGCAUCUGGUCCAUGAGGAGUCACAGACUGAGUUGAUGGCACAACAGGUGUCGGCCUCCAAACAGGCAAGGUAAAGGAAGCCUCUAGCUCCUCAUGAUGGUAUGGAAAGCGCAUCGUAGAUCCAUCACAUACCAUCUCCAUAUUUCAACGGUUGAAAAUGUUCAUAACAUACAUAUAAACAUGAUACUAAAAUUUUAUAAACAUCUAAUGGUUAGAUCUUAAGAGAUGAAGAAAUCAAAAUGAAGAACUAUGAAGAAAGAGUGUCAAAUGCCAAAGGUAUUCUCUUAGUUAGGAUUUGGCUCCUUAAAGAGAGAAAUCUGAUUUGGGGAGGGAAAAAGUUAAUGGUUUUUCAAAAAGUAGUUUGUGUAAGAGAUAUGUGAGUGAUUUAAGGGAUUUUGUGUGAGAGAAUAUGUACAUUUGUUUGUGUAACAAGCAAGCCUCUUACAUGAAAGUGAUGUGACCUUUUCGGCGAGACAUUCUCGACUAAAUCAUGCCCGAGUAUUGUUGGCUAAUACUCAGUCGGAUAUUAAAAAUCUCCCAAUUUUAGUUUACGGUUAGAACUUCGAAACACAAAAUUUGGAGUGAGAAAUAUUUAGAAAUGCGUUGUGGACGAAAUUCAUAUCUAUCUAGACUCGAAAUAAUACUUUGAAGCCAAUGGCGCAAUUGGAAUUCGAUUCCGAGUUACGAAACUCAAAAACACGGUAUUGGGCCGAAUUCAAGCGAAUUUGGGCCCGACAACAGCUCAAAAACCUUUCGUCUAAGAAAAUUACGAAAAUUUACCAAAAAAUAGAAAAUCACAAAAAAAGACUAACACUCAACUAUGGUUUAGCCUAAAUCAAUACCGAUUAAUUUCUAAAAUUAAUUUUUGAUAAAAUAAUUAAUUAAUAAAACAUACACACAAAAAAUCAUGGUGUUACAAUAAAACCUAUACGCUUUGUUGUUUAUAGUAUACCCAAUGAGUGCACUUUCAUAGGCUCUACUUGUGAGUUUAACUCUCUAGGGGCAUACCUUCAUAUAUGAUUUCAUGAGCAAUUCUAUAUGAACGGGCAGUCUUCUAUUUAUAACAUGUAAUUUUUUCCAAGUUCCUCAUAUCUCCUAUGUGUGACUUGAGAGUUAUUUUUUCAAAACUCUUCUAUGUAAGACUUAGAAGUUUUUUAGAUUUCACAUCCUAAAAUUCUCACUUCUAACAAACCAAGUUCCAACAUGUUUUCCAAUAAUUUAAUUCUUUUCCCCCUUUAACCAUUCUGAUGAAAACAGAAAUGUUAUCUUUGAUUGAAUAUAUAAUGUUAUUUACCUACAAUCAUUUAACAAGUAUUAAACUUUUUGGAUUGUAAGUUUUCUUAAACAUCUCCACAAUUAUAAGUUAGGAUCUCAAUUAUAAUACAAUCUACAUUUUCAUACCUAUAAAUGAAAAAUAGAAAUCACCAAUUGUAGAGUUGAAUCUAUAUAGUUAGACUUAUUAUCUAUCUAAAGAAAAUUGGUAGUUGAUGAUAUGAUUAACACUAACAUGUGACACAUGUCAUAAUAAUAAUAAUUGAUAUAAUCAAUUAUUAUGAUGGUGACAUGACACUGAAGUCAAAGUGGUCAAUUGAAAUAGGGACUAAAAACUAAGGAAAAGAUUGGGUGACUAAAAUCAAAUUUAUCUAUUUUCUAGAGACUACAUAUAUAUUUAAACCAUUUUAAUACAACUAAUUUAAAUCAUUCUCAAUUCUUAGCCUUCAUUCUAAGAAUCUUAUUAUGUAACUAGGUAUAUCAUCACACAAGUGUAACAUCACAACAUUGACAUCCUCUAUUAGAGUUGGAAAAUCAAUCAUACACUUUAACAAAAGGAAAAGAAGAGAAACAAAAUCAGGAAGAAGCAAAGAAGCAAAACUUAUAAAUAAAUAAGGAGAAUGAAGUUACAAAACAAAGUUGCAAGUGUCUCUGGUUGGACUUUUAGUUUAGGAGGCCCAUUUUCUUUAUUUUCUUCUUUUAGUAAAUUUGUUAGGUUUCAAUUAGUUUAGUUGGUUACUCUAACCAACUUAUCUUGCUAUAUAUAGAUCUGUCUUCUUCCCUUUGUAAUUAACAAAAAUUCAAGAUAAAUAAAUUUUCAGAUAUUGCUCAUUUCUUUUGUAUGGGAUACCAUGUUCUUUAACAUGGUAUCAGAGCUUGCAUAAAGCCCUGAUAUCCUACCAUUCCACUAGCAAAUCUCAUUUUAAUCAACUCGUCUUCUUCCUCAAAAUUCAUCCUCAAAGUUCAUCUUCAUUUCAGAGUCCUUCCCAUCUCUUCAUCACUUUCUCUACUUCUGCUAAAUAUGGAGAAUAGAGCCCUAACCACACUAAACCCAAUGCAAUAUCCAUUUUCCCUUACUAUAUGCCUCCCAAUGAGAGUCCUAGUGAAAUACUCGUAUCCAAACCUCUUAAUGGUGACAAUUAUCAUUCUUGGUCUCGUGCUAUGUGGAUGUCUCUCAAAACAAAGAAUAAGCUUCAAUUUAUCGAUGGAUCUCUCCUCAAACCAUCGAUUGAAGAUCCAAGUUUCAGUACAUGGGACAGAGUAAACACAUUGGUGGUUUCAUGGUUAACCCAAUCAAUAGAUGCUUCGAUUGUCCAAAGCAUUCUCUGGAUGGAAACGUCUAUGGAUAUAUGGCAAGAUUUGUGUGAGAGGUAUUACCAAGGAGAUGCUUACCAAAUCUCAGAAUUGCUUCGUGAAAUUUACACCUAUAAACAAGGUAACCUUAGCAUAGCAGCUUAUCACAAUUACAUAAAAGGUUUGUGGCAGGAAUUGGAUAAUUUUAGGCCAAUUCCUAGAUUUUCUUGCACACAUAGAUGUAGAUGUAACUUGAUUCCUACUAUAAAAGGGUAUAAGGAAAAUGACUAUGUCAUUUGCUUCCUUAAUGGUCUCAAUGACCAAUAUGAAGGAGUGAGAUCGCAGAUCAUGUUAAUGGAUCCACUCCCUUCAAUUAACAAAGCUUUCUAUCUGUUAGUACAACAAGAAAGACAUGUUAAUUCUCAGUUUGUUAAACCAAGGGCCCUGAUGAACACUUAGGCAGUAAAUCUGAUAGCAAUAAUUUUGAAAGAAAUACAAGAAACAAUAGAGGAAGAAGUAGAGGAAGAGGAUACAAAGGAGGAAGGAACUCAGGUAGAUCUUCAAUUAGCAGAGGCUCCAAAGUCUUCACCUUCUGCCAUAAGACUGGACAUAUUGUUGAUCAAUGUUUCAAAAGGCAUGGAUUCCCACCUGGAAAUUUCAAGAAUUACACUAUCAACAACAUUGGAGCAAGUGAUGUUCAGUCCUAUGACUCUGGCUAUCACAGUUGGGCAUUUUAGCCAAUUUGUUGCUAAGCCUACUAAUCUUCACUUUAAGGAAGCUAAAAGGAUACUAAGGUAUCUUAAGGGCUCAAUUAGUGCUGGAAUUUUCUUCCCUGCAGAAUUUGAUUUCAAGAUAAAGGGAUAUAUUGAUUCAGAUUGGGCAGGAUGUCUUGACUCUAGAAAAUCUGUAUCUGGAUAUUGUUUUUAUCUUAGAAAUGCUCCCAUUUCCUAGAAGAGCAAGAAACAACAAGUUGUAGCCAGGUCUUCUGCUGAAGUAGAGUAUAGAGCCAUAGCCUUAGCUGCUUGUGAAGCAUAGUGGCUAGCAUACCUCAUGAAGGACUUGAAGAUAACAGAUCCAGAGGCUAUAGCAUUAUUCUGUGACAACCAAUCUGCCAUCCAUAUAGCUGCAAAUCCCAUCUUCCUGAAAGAACUAAGCAUAUUGAAGUGGAUUGUCACUCAGUAAGGGAGAAGAUUCAAUCUGGGCUCAUUCAUCUACUCUCAAUCCCAACUCUGUCUCAAAUUACAGAUAUAUUCACCAAAUCUUUAUCUCCCUGCAUCUUCAUGAAAUUGCAUUCCAAGCUAGGAAUGUUAGACAUCCACAUUCCAACUUGUGGGGGAGUGUUAGAGUUGGAAAAUCAAUCAUACACUUUAACAAAGGGAAAAGAAGAGAAACAAAAUCAGGAAGAAGAAGGAAGAAGCAGAGAAGCAAAACUUAUAAAUAAAGAAGGAGAAUGAAGUUACAAAACAGAGUUGCAAGUGUCUCUAGUUGGGCUUUUAGUUUAGGAGGCCCAUCUUCUUUAUUUUCUUCUUUUAGUAAAUAUGUUAGGUUUCAGUUAUUUUAGUUGGUUACUCUAACCAACUUAUCUUGAUAUAUAGAGAUAUGUCUUCUUCCCUUUGUAAUUAACAAAAAUUCAAGAUAAAUAAAUUUGCAAAGAUUGUUCAUUUCUUUUGUAUGGGAUACCAUGCUCUUUAACAUCCUCAUCUACCUUCUCUACAACCACAAAUAUUGCCACCCUAGCCACUAAUAGUACUCUCAUCCUAUUAUUUCACCAUCGCUACUACCACCCUGCCCAUGUCAUUAUUGUUGAUGCCACCAUUAUGUCCUUGUUUCUCAUCACUCUAUCUUUUUCAUCACCUCCACCAUUAGAGCUACUACCACUACCUUUCCAUUGUCAUUACCAACCCUUGUCCCUUGUAUCACACUAUUAUUAUGUUACCCAUGUUACCAGCUCCAAGCCAAUGGAAUUAUGAUGUAUUGAUUUAAUAUAAAUGAGUCUCGUGAUUAAUAUUACUCUAUUAAUUUUUUAUUUAAUUGGAUAUCUUAUCCAUAUUUAAUAGCUACAAGGUAAGGAAUUUUCACGACAUUAUCUUGCUUCCUUUUUAUGAUAUCCAAAAGCAUUGGAAUACGUAAUAUUAUCUUUAAUAUGAUAAAAAAAAUCAUACUUAAGCUACUAUAUAAUUGCAAUUCUUUUGUUAUCCAUAACAUAGUUGGUCUAUUUGCUUAAUCAUGACUGACUAUAGUAAGGGAGAACUUCUUUUAUUCUAAACCAUAAGUUACUAUUUAUGAUUGGUUAAAAAGAAAUUAAUUAUCAAAAUUUUAACUUAAAUAUUUUUUUUUAACCAAUCACACUUGGUAGUGCACAAAAUAACACAUUAUAUGUGACAAACAUAUAUGUUCUGAUAUAGUACGAAUACCCCUAAUUUAUACAACAAAAAAAUGGAAUUUAGAUUAAAUCACUUUGAAAAAUUGUGGCUUCAAUAAAUUUAACAAUCAUAAAGGUUGUAUUACUUUCAUUUAAAAUUGUAAUUAGAAUAUAUAUCUUUUUUUGAGAAAAAAUAUAUUUACUGAUAAUAUAAAAGUUUUUAUACUGUCAUUACAUCUUUUACUAUUAAAAUUUAAUCACUGACUCUUAAAAAAGUAAUACAAAUGAAUAUUGUACUAACUAUGUAUAAAUUUUUACACUAAUUAAAUGUGGAAACAUGUAACAGUCUUUGCCUUAAAUACGCCGAGCCUAUAUGACAUAUAAGAAUGCAAGUUUAAUUUGUUAGUCCGUUUAAAAAAAGUUUCAAAGUCCAAGCUUGACCAUUUUAAAAGCUUAGCGAUAACAUGUUUAAAGGUAUGCUAUAUAUAGUCAUGAAAUAUGUCAUAAUUUCUACAUUUAAAUGAUGUAAUGUGUCUACUUUUAACUAGGUCUGUCUAACUCUAAUAGUUAAAUUAUAUUUUUGUAUACAUUUUUAUAUUAAAUGAUAAUAUUACUUAUAUUAGUAUAAUAUGAAAAUUGUUAUAUAAUAUAUAACAAAAUAGGCUCACAUAUUAAGUUUAAUAAGUAUUUUAGAUGACCUAAAGCCUAACCUAUUAAACUCAAUAUAUUUUUAGAAAAGUCUGAGUUUGACCUAUUUACGAGAAAAAUAUGGCUUAGCUUGUUAAGGUCAGGUAAUAGGUCUCCAACUUUAACAAUGACAAUUUAUAAUAUUACAUUUUUUUAAUUAUUUAUCAUAUAAAAAGAUCAUUUAUUACAAAUAGUACAAAAUAUACAUAUUGAUACACAAUUAUACAAUAACAGACAACAUUAUUAUUGAUAAUAUAUAAUAUCAGAAAUGGGGUGAUAAGAGAAACUUGAGGCCAGGGGUGGGUUAUCUGAAACACCACACCACAAAAACAGAAGAAGGAUAGAAGAAACAUCUCAAAGCUCAAAACCCAUAACCUUCAAACAAUGGCAGCAGAGUCUUUGAGUGUUGCAACAACACCUUCUCUUUGCAAUUUCAAUGCCUCAAAGUUUCAUAGGAGACCAACCCUUCUCUCACCUCUUCAUUUCACCGUUCUUCGCUCUCCUCUACCCUCUCACUCUCUCACUUCUUCUUCUUCAUCACUUUCUCACUUCUUUGGUACUUCUCGAGUUACCUCAAAUUCUACCAACUUAUCCCUUUU